rnacentral:lncRNA from 1 species
UGAAGGAUAUUUGCUUUGCAGCAUAAACCAUAAACUACCUACCGUAGAUCUAUCAAGUGGAAACUUGUUUUUAUGUUUGAACCCUGUUAUGCUUCUGCCUAGUGCUGUCGAUGGGUGAAAGUUGGCACUGUUUUGGGACUUGGUAAUCUGCUAGUUGCUGCUGCUGGUCUUGUUAUAUUCUGGACGGCCUUAUGUUUCAAUGCAUGUACAGUUUCCAGACAUUUGGUAUCUUGGUUCUUGGUAGUCUCGGUAUUCCUAUGAUUGAUGUCUAUGUUUAAUUACGCUUGUCAUCGUGUUAGUUUGCCUAGUGGUGUCGAUGUGUAUAACAUGCGCAGUUGUAGCUUCAGAUAAAUAAUUUACUAGUACAUCACAAGUUUGAGCUUACAUGGGUGCUUUGAUGUGGCUACAGCACUUAUUUUAGGAAGCAUUUUGCAUUAUUGUUCCGCGUCGGCGCACGAGCCUUUCAGUGCUUCGAAUCCCUCAUUCCUGCGUGCCCGGGAUCUAUCUAUCAGGACAUGGCCAUGCGCUCGUUACUUGCUGCUGCCAUCCGUUAGGCUAUGUACAAAAUACCCCUAAACCGCCUCGAAUCCUCUUGAGAGAACGAGGCCUUAUGCAAGUUUGUCCCGCCUGGUUCCCCCGCCUCGUUGGGACCUGAACGGAGACGCAGCACUAAUGCGUGGUUCUGCUUUAUCAUCUUUUUUUAUAGUUGAGGUCCAAAUCCAGCCCUCGGUUGUCAGGCAAGAGCCCCUAUGCAUAAGCAGAUGGUCACAAAAGGUUAUUCGCAAAAAAAGAAAAACAAGAGAAAGAAGGUCGCCGCAAAAGGUGUAGUGAAUGAGAAGUUUUUGUACCCGGUCAUGAUACAACUGGUUAGUAAAAAUGGAAUGUUUUGUGUCAAAUUUUGUGGGACAAUCUUCAGACUCUGUUUGCCAGAAAUAUUUUGGAUGGCACAGUAACAGACCUGUCACAAAUCAGAUCGUCGAUACAGGCUUUUCCCUUUUGGGGUGUGAGAUACAAGCUUUCUCUGAAACAACAUAUUAUCUCCCUAUGGUAUUUGUAGCUUUCCGACUUAUGGAAGCUUUUUCUUUUGUUGCUAAAAUUUAUGUACAAAUGGGUAUCUCAACACCACAGCCUUGGCGUUCAUGAUACCCUCGACCGCACACACAAUUAUUUAUCUAUUCUAUCCUACAUUGAGGAUCACAAAUAGAGCGUCGAAAAGAUCAAAUCAUCCAACCGCCAUCCUUGCAUCAUUAUUUUUUGCAUGGUAGUACGUGUUUCAUUCACAACAUAAAGAUCAUAGUACAACUACAAACCACGUAGACAUCGACAUAACAAAAUUGGAAAGACAUCAGAACGCCUUUGCACAAAGGACCACCACACCAAGGAAAAUUACAAUCAAGACCGACCUCCAAGGUGGCUCAUCAAAGGUGAAGUCAUCGCCAUUGAAUGAAUCAGAUCGGGGCGAUAGCCUGGACAUGCGAACUCUAGAUUUGGCACUCCCGCAUGACUAAGACACUGGAGGAGGAAACCAUAUUUGCUAACCGUCAACUACGAACCCAACACAAGAUCCGUCUUUCAGAUGUCGUUGAUGCUAACCACUAUCCGUAUCCAUUCCUCGACUAUCUCCCAAGCCCCACAUCCGUGCUAGAGCAGAUGCUGUCGCAACGGAGGAGCCCGAUGGCACAAGUCCACCAUAAGGAUGCCGCCGCCGCCACGACAUCCCUGUUUGAACAGGCUAGUUCCCAAAUCCAUCAUCAAACAUUGACUUGUUUGCCUCAUAGGGGGGAAUUGGAGCUUCUUUAUUCAGUGUCACCUUCGCCGCUGCCGAAGUCAAAACGUGUAAUGACUCAAAAUCUAGGCCACUGGGGCCCUAAAACAUAAACCUACCCAAUCUGCACGCGCGGCAUCCGGUGACCCUCCUCACCACUACCGACAGAGAGGUCAUCAGAGGACGGGGGCCGCUGUAGGACGGCGCCGGAAGGCUGGCUUCUCCUGGCGGCGGCUAGGGUUCCAGUCUGCACACACCAAAGGAAAAACAUAUAUCUUCUCUUUGUACCUGCACCAGUCUAAAUGUAUAAUUUUUUUGAACACAAUACGAUCGAAGUCGCUCACAUACACGAGCAUACUCUCACACCUAUGAACGCACGCACACACAUCCUACCCCUAUGAGCAUUGAGAGACUGAGCCAACAUGGCAUCUUGAGUUUUUGUGGAGUCAUCAUAGGCGCCUCGCAGUCGAUGGAAACGUCUACUUCCACCGAAUGUAAGCCUAGGAUUUGAACCCUGGUGGGCUAGGGAUACCACUGUCUUCCUAACCAUCCAACCAUAGGUUGGUUUGCUUUUAGUAACUAGUUCUCUCAAAUUGUAUUUCCACUACAAGAUACACUCUGUUCUCUCUCUCAACCGGGAUUACAAGUGAUACAGGAAGGAGGAAGGCAAAGUAGAUGCCGUGCCUUGAUCCAAGCCAAGAUGUCUUUCCCUCUCGAUCUCCUGGCUUUAAGUAGUGUUAACCCACUCGGGCCCAUGAAUCUCCUGUUGGGUUGCUUGAUCCUCGUUGGCCUUGCAAUGGCGCGCACCUCUCCUUGAUUGGUCCACUUGUCAUCCUUUCCUGCUGGCGUGGAUGAGACUACUGCCAUGGCAGCGCUUUUGCCGCCGCACGUUUAGUUGCCAUGGCAGUGUUCUUGUCAUUCCCGCCCAGUGGCUUGUUUGGGAUGCUAACAUCCCCCCUCCUUGACCCGCGCGGCUUGCCCCCAAGCCGAUAAUUGAGGAAAGCGAUGAUAAAGCGAGAGAGCAUCCUCCCAUGUGGCAUCGAGAAUGUCAGGAUCGGACCAACAAACCAAGAGUUGCUCGUGGCAGCCGGAGGGAGUGCGUCGCCAUCGGCUGUUCAAAAUUUCAAAUAGAACAAAGGUGCCAUCAGAUGGAAUGGGUAAGUCCGAACAAGUAGUCAUAUCUGGUGUCAAGUCUUCUCUUAGUUGGGACACAUGAAAAAUAGGGUGAACUUUGGAAGUGGCUGGCAAAUUCAGCUCAUACAUGAUGACCCACAAGUAUAGGGAUCAAUCGUAGUCCUUUCGAUAAGUAAGAGUGUCGAACCCAACGAGGAGCAGAAGGAAAUGACAAGCGGUUUUCAGUAAGGUAUUUUCCGCGAGCACUGAAAUUAUCGAUAACGAGUAGUUUUGUAGCAAGGUAAUUCGUAAAGGGUAACAAGUGUAACAAAAGUGCAACAAGGUGGCCCAAUCCUUUUUAUAGCAAAGGAUAAGCCUAGACGAACUCUUAUAUAAAGCAAAGCGCUCCCGAGGACAAAUGGGAAUUAUCGUCAAGUUAGUUUUCAUCAUGCUCAUAUGAUUCACGUUCGUUACUUUGAUAAUUUGAUAUGUGGAUGGACCGAUGCUUGGGUGUUGUCCUUACUUGGACAAGCCUCCCACUUAUGAUUAACCCCUCUCGCAAGCAACCGCAAUUACGAAAGAAGAAUUAAGAUAAAUCUAACCAUAGCAUUAAACAUGUGGAUCUAAAUCAGCCCCUUAAGAAGCAACACAUAAACUAGGGUUUAAGCUUCUGUCACUCUAGCAAGGGAGCCUAGGGCAGGCGGUCCUAUAGGUAAGGAAAGGGGGCGCCUAAGGCAAGGGAGCCGCCACCCCCCCUCCUGCCUUCUCCACCCUCCUAGGAAGGAAAGGGGGGGGGAGGGCAGGCCGCUGGCCCCCUUGGGGCGUCCUAGGCUGCCUCCCCUCCUCCCCCACCUAUAUAUAUGAGAGGAGGGAGAGGGGCAACACACCUGAAGGAAAUAUGCCCUAGAGGCAAUAAUAAAGUUGUUAUUUUAUAUUUUCUUAUUCAUGAUAAAAGUUUAUUAUUCAUGCUAGAAUUGUAUUGAUUGGAAACCUAAAUACAUGUGUGAAUACAUAGACAAACACUGUGUCCCUAGUGAGCCUCUACUUGACUAGCUCGUUGAUCAAAGAUGGUUAAGGUUUCAUAACCAUGGACAUGAGUUGUCAUUUGAUAACGGGAUCACAUCAUUAGGAGAAUGAUGUGAUGGACAAGAACCAUCCGGUAGCUUAGCAUAAUGAUCAUUCAGUUUUAUUGCUAUUGCUUUGUUCAUGUCAAAUACAUAUUCCUUCGACUAUGAGAUUAUGCAACUCCCGGAUACUGGAGGAAUGCCUUAUGUGCUAUCAAACAUCACAACGUAACUGGGUGAUUAUAAAGAUGCUCUACAGGUAUCUCCGAAGGUGUCUGUUGAGUUGGCACAGAUCAAGAUUAGGAUUUGUCACUCCGAGUAUCGAAGAGGUUUCUCUGGGCCCUCUCGGUAAUACACAUCAUAAGCUUACAAGCAAACGACUAAGGAGUUAGUUACGAGGUGAUGUAUUAAGGAAUGAGUAAAGAGACUUGAUGGUAAUGAGAUUGAACUAGGUAUGAAGAUACUGGCGAUCGAAUCUCGGGCAAGUAACAUACCGAUGGACAAAGGGAAUUACGUAUGUUGUCAUAACAGUUCGACCGAUAAAGAUCUUCGUAGAAUAUGUAGGAGCCAAUAUGAGCAUCCAGGUUUCGCUAUUGGUUAUUGACCGGAGAGGUGCCUCGGUCAUGUCUACAUAGUUCUCGAACCCGUAGGGUCCGCACACUUAACGUUCGAUGACGAUAUAAUAUUAUAUGAGUUAUGUGAUUUGGUGACCGAAUGUUGUUUGGAGUCCCGGAUUAGAUCACAGACAUGACGAGGAGUCUCGAAAUGGUCGAGAGGUAAAGAUUGAUAUAUAGGACGAUGGUAUUCGGACACCAGAAGUGUUCCGGAGGGUACCAGGUACAUAUCGGGUCACGGGAAGGGGUUCCGGGCAUCCCCGGCAAAAGAUAUGGGCCUUAUGGGCCAAGAGGGGAAAUGCACCAGCCACAAGGGGCUGGUGCGCCCCCCAUAUGGGCCGUCCAAGGUGGAGAAGGAAAGGGGAAGGAGGAAAGGAAAGGGGAAGGAGGAAAGGAAAGAAAGGGAAUAGGAUUCCCCCUUCCUUCCCCUCCCCCCUCUUUCCUUCCCCCUCCGAUAUAUAUGGCAGGGGAGGGGGGCUUGGGAGGAGACCAAGUAGGAUUCGGUCCUACUUGGGGCGCCUCAUGGCCUCUUCCCUCCCCCUCCCACCUAUAUAUAUGUGGGGGGCAUCCCUAGCACACCCCAGACAAUUGCCUAGCCGUGUGCGGCGCCCCCCUCCACAGUUUACACCCCGGUCAUAUUCUCACGAUGCUUAGGCGAAGCCCUGCGAGGAUCACUUCACCAUCACCGUCACCAUGCCGUCGUGCUAGCGGAACUCAUCUACUACCUCGACGUCUUGCUGGAUCAAGAAGACGAUGUACGUCAUCGAGCUGAGCGUGUGUAGAACGCGGAGGUGUCGUACGUUCAGUACUUGAUCGGUUGGAUUGCGAAGAACUUCGACUACAUCAACCGCGUUGUUAAACGCUUCCGCUUACGGUCUACAAGGGUACGUAGACACACUCUCCCCUCGUUUCUAUGCAUCUCCAUGGAUGGAUCAUUGCAUGUGCGUAGAAUUUUUUUUGUUUUCCAUGCUACGUUUCCCAACGGUGGCAUCCGAGCCAGGUCUAUGCGUAGAUGAUAUGCGCGAGUAGAACACAAAGAGUUGUGGGCGGUCAUAGUCAUACUGCUUACCACCAACGUCUUAUUUUGAUUCGGCCGUAUUGUGGGAUGAAGCGGCCCGGACCAACCUUACAUGUCCACGCACAUGAGACUGGUUCCACCGACAAACAUGCAACUAGUUUUGCAUAAAGGUGGCUGGCGGGUGUCUGUUUCUCCUAUUUAGUUGAAUCGAAUUUGACUGCGCCCGGUCCUUGAAGAAGGUUAAAACAACAAACUUGAUGAAACACCGUUGUGGUUUUGUGCGUAGGUAAGAAUGGUUCUUGCUAAAAGCCCGUGGCAGCCACGUAAAACUUGCAACAACAAAGUAGAGGACAUCUAACUUGUUUUUGUAGGGCAUGUUGUGAUGUGAUAUGGUCAAGACAUGAUGUGAUAUACGUUAUUGUAUGAGAUGAUCAUGUUUUGUAAAAGUUAUCGGCAACCGACAGGAGCCUUAUGGUUGUCUCUUUAUUGUAUGAAUUGCAAACGCCAUGUAAUUGCUUUACUUUAUCACUAUGCGUUAGCGAUAGUUGUAGAAGAAAUAGUUGGCGAGACGACCACGACGCAACGAUGGAGAUCAAGGUGUCGAGCCGGUGAAGAUGGAGAUCAUGACGAUGCUUUGGAGAUGGAGAUCAAAAGCACAAGAUGAUGAUGGCCAUAUCAUGUCACACAUUUUGAUUGCAUGUGAUGUUUAUCUUUUAUGCAUCUUAUAUUGCUUAGUACGGCGGUAGCAUUAUAAGAUGAUCCCUUAACUAAAUUUCAAGGCAUAAGUGUUCUCCCUGAGUAUGCACUGUUGCGACAGUUCGUCAUGUUGAGACACCACCUGAUGAUCGGGUGUGAUAGACUCUACGUUCACAUCAACGGGUGCAAGACAGUUUUGCACAUGCGGAAUACUCGGGUUAAACUUGACGAGCCUAGCAUGUACAGACAUGGCCUCGGAACACUGGAGAUCGAAAGGUCGAACGUGAAUCAUAUAGUAGAUAUGAUCAACAUAGAGAUGUUCACCAUUGAUGACUACCCCAUCUCACGUGAUGAUCGGACAUGAGUUAGUUGAUUUGGAUCACGUAUCACUUAGAUGACUUGAGGGAUGUCUAUUUAAGUGGGAGUUAUUUAGUAAUUUGAUUAAUUGAAUUUAAUUUAUCAUGAACCUAGUCUUAAUAGUUUUGCAUAUCUAUGUUGUAGAUCAAUAGCUCGCGAUAUAGCUCCCUUAUUUUUUGAUAUGUUCCUAGAGAAAAAUAAGUUGAAAGAUGAUAGUAGCAAUGAUGCAGACUAGGUCCGUGAUCUGAGGAUUAUCCUCAUUGCUGCACAGAAGAAUUGUGUCCUUUAUGCACCGCUAGGUGACAGACCUAUUGCAGGAGCAGAUGCAGACGUUAUGAAUGUUUGGCAAGCUCGAUAUGAUGACUACUUGAUAGUUCAGUGCACCAUGCUUUACAGUUUAGAACCGGGACUUCAAAAACGUUUUGAACGCCACGGAGCAUAUGAGAUGUUCCAAGAGCUGAAAUUGGUAUUUCAGACUCAUGCCCGUGUCAAGAGGUAUGAGACCUUUGACAGUACUUUGCCUACAAGAUGGAGGAGAAUAGCUCAGCUAGUGAGCAUGUGCUCAGAAUAUCUGGGCACUACAAUCGCUUGAAUCAAGUGGGAGUUAAUCUUCCAGAUAAGAUAGUGAUUGACAGAGUUCUCUAGUCACUAUCACCAAGCUACUAAAACUUCGUGAUGAGCUAUAAUGUGCAAGGGAUAACGGAAAGGAUUCCCGAGCUCUUCGCGAUGCUGAAUCGGAGAAGGUAGAAAUCAAGAAAGAGCAUGAAGUGUUGAUGGUUAACAAGACCACUAGUUUCAAGAAAAGGGCAAAGGAAAAGAAAGGGAACUUCAAGAAGAAUGACAAGCAAGUUGCCACUCCCGUGAAGAAGCCCAAAGCUAGACCUAAGCCUGAAACUAAGUGCUUCUACUGCAAAGGGAAUGGUCACAUGAAGCGGAACUACCCCAAAUACUUGGCGGAUAAGAAGGAUGGCAAAGUGAACAAAUGUAUAUUUGAUAUACAUGUUAUUAAUGUGUACUUUACUAGUGUUCAUAGUAACCCCAGGGUAUUUGAUAUCGGUUCAGUUGCUAAGAUUAGUAACUCGAAACAAGAGUUGCAAAAUGAACAGAGACUAGUUAAGGGCGAGGUGACAAUGUGUGUUGGAAGUGAUUCCAAGGUUCAUAAGAUCACCAUCGCACACUCCCUCUACCUUCGGGAUUAGUGUUGGACCUAAAUAAAUGUUAUUUAGUGUUUGCGUUGAGCAUGAAUAUGAUUGGAUCAUGUUUAUUGCGAUACAAUUAUUCAUUUUAGUCAGAGAAUAAUUGUUGUUCUAUUUACAUGAAUAAAACCUUCUAUGGUCAUACACCCAAUGUAAAUGGUUUAUUGAAUCUCGAUCGUAGUGAUACACAUAUUCGUAAUAUUGAUGCCAAAAGAUGCAAAGUUGAUAAUGAUAGUGCAACAUAUUUGUGGCACUGUCGUUUAGGUCAUAUUGGUAUAAAGCGCAUGAAGAAACUCCAUACAGAUGGAUUUUUGGAAUCACUUGAUUAUGAAUCAUUUGAUACUUGUGAACCAUGCCUCAUUGGCAAGAUGACUAAAACUCCGUUCUCCGAAACAAUGGAGCGAACCAAUGACUUAUUGGAAAUAAUACAUACUGAUGUAUGUGGUCCGAUGAGUGUUGAGGCACGCAGCGGGUAUCGUUAUUUUCUGACCUUCAGAGAUGAUUUGAGAAGAUAUGGGUAUAUCUACUUAAUGAAACACAAGUCUGAAACAUUUGAAAAGUUCAAGGAAUUUCAGAGUGAAUUGGAGAAUCAUCGUAACAAGAAAAUAAAGUUUCUACGAUCUGAUCGUGGAGGCGAAUAUUUGAGUUACGAGUUUGGCCUUUGUUUAAAACAAUGUGGAAUUGUUUCACAACUCACGCCACCUGGAACACCACAGCGUAAUGGUGUGUCCGAACUUCGUAACCGUACUUUAUUAGAUAUGGUGCAUUCUAUGAUGUCUCUUACCGAUUUACCACUAUCGGUUUGGGGUUAUGCAUUAGAGACAACUGCAUUCACGUUAAAUAGGGCACCGUCUAAAUCCAUUGAGACGACACCGUAUGAACUAUGGUUUGGCAAGAAACCUAAGCUGUCAUUUCUUAAAUUUGGGGAUGUAAUGCUUAUGUCAAAAGACUUCAGCCUGAUAAGCUCGAACCCAAAUCAGAGAAGUGCGUCUUCAUAGGAUACCCUAAGGAUACAAUUGGGUACACCUUCUACCACAGAUCCGAAGGCAAGAUCUUUGUUGCUAAGUUUGGAUCCUUUCUAGAGAAGUAGUUUCUCUGAAAAGAAGUGAGUGGGAGGAAAGUAGAACUUGAUGAGGUAAUUGUACCUUCUCUCGAAUUGGAAGGUAGCACAUCACAGAAAACCGUUCCUGUGAUGCCUACACCAACUACAGAGGAAGCUAAUGAUGAUGAUCAUGAAACUUCAGAUCAAGUUACUACUGGACUUCGUAGGUCGACUAGAGCAUGAUCCGCACCAGAGUGGUACGGUAAUCCUGUUCUGGAAGUCAUGUUACUAGACCAAGGCGAACCUACGAACUAUGAAGAAGCUAUGUGUUGGAAAUAUGCCCUAGAGGCAAUAAUAAAUGGUUAUUAUUAUAUUUCUUUGUUCAUGGUAAUUGUCUAUUGUUCAUGCUAUAAUUGUAUUGUUCGGAAAUCGUAAUACAUGUGUGAACACAUAGACCACAACGUGUCCCUAGUAAGCCUCUAGUUGACUAGCUCGUUGAUCAACAGAUAGUCAUGGUUUCCUGACUAUGGACAUUGGAUGUCAUUGAUAACGGGAUCACAUCAUUAGGAGAAUGAUGUGAUGGACAAGACCCAAUCCUAAGCAUAGCAUAAAAGAUCGUGUAGUUUCGUUUGCUAGAGCUUUUCCAAUGUCAAGUAUCUUUUCCUUAGACCAUGAGAUCGUGCAACUCCCGGAUACCGUAGGAGUGCUUUGGGUGUGCCAAACGUCACAACGUAACUGGGUGACUAUAAAGGUGCACUACGGGUAUCUCCGAAAGUGUCUGUUGGGUUGGCACGGAUCGAGACUGGGAUUUGUCACUCUGUGUGACGAAGAGGUAUCUCUGGGCCCACUCGGUAAUGCAUCAUCAUAAUGAGCUCAAUGUGACUAAGGCGUUAGUCACGGGAUCAUGCAUUGCGGUACGAGUAAAGAGACUUACCGGUAACGAGAUUGAACAAGGUAUUGGGAUACCGACGAUCGAAUCUCGGGCAAGUAACAUACCGAUUGACAAAGGGAAUUGCAUACGAGAUUGAUUGAGUCCUCGACACCGUGGUUCAUCCGAUGAGAUCAUCGUGGAACAUGUGGGAGCCAACAUGGGUAUCCAGAUCCCGCUGUUGGUUAUUGACCGGAGAGGCGUCUCGGUCAUGUCUGCAUGUCUCCCGAACCCGUAGGGUCUACACACUUAAGGUUCGGUGACGCUAGGGUUGUAGAGAUAUGUGUAUGCGGAACCCCGAAAGUUGUUCGGAGUCCCGGAUGAGAUCCCGUACGUCACGAGAGGUUCCGGAAUGGUCCGGAGGUGAAGAAUUAUAUAUAGGAAGUCAAGUUUCGGCCACCGGGAAAGUUUCGGGGGUUACCGGUAUUGUACCGGGACCACCGGAAGGGUCCCGGGGGUCCACCGGAUGGGGCCACCUAUCCCGGAGGGCCCCGUGGGCUGAAAGUGGAAGGGAACCAGCCCCUAGUGGGCUGGGCGCCCCCCCAUGGGCCUCCCCCCAUGCGCCUAGGGUUGGGAACCCUAGGGUGGGGGGGCUUCCCCCUUGCCUUGGGGGGCAAGGCAACCCCUUCCCCCCUUUGGCCGCCGCCCCCCUUGGGAUCCCAUCUCCAGGGCCCCCCCCAGGGGGCCUAUAUAAAGGGGGGGGGAGGGAGGGCAGCAACCUACAGCCUUGGCGCCUCCCUCCUCCCCUGCAACACCUCUCUCUCUCUCGCAGAAGCUCGACGAAGCCCUGCCGGAGACCCGCUACAUCCACCACCACGCCAUCGUGCUGCUGGAUCUCCAUCAACCUCUCCUUCCCCCUUGCUGGAUCAAGAAGGAGGAGACGUCGCUGCACCGUACGUGUGUUGAAUGCGGAGGUGCCGUCCGUUCGGCACUCGGUCAUCGGUGAUUUGGAUCACGGCGAGUACGACUCCGUCAUCCACGUUCAAUGGAACGCUUCCGCUCGCGAUCUACAAGGGUAUGUAGAUGCACUCCCUUCCCCUCGUUGCUAGUAGACUCCAUAGAUGCAUCUUGGUGAGCGUAGGAUAAUUUUAAAAUUAUGCUACGAUUCCCAACAGUGGCAUCAUGAGCCAGGCCUAUGCGUAGUUACUAUGCACGAGUAGAACACAAAGCAGUUGUGGGCGUUGAGUUUGCCAAUUCUUCUUGCCGCUACUAGUCGUUUCUUGUUUCGGCGGCAUUGUAGGAUGAAGCGGCCCGGACCGACCUUACACGUACGCUUACGUGAGACAGGUUCCACCGAUUGACAUGCACUAGUUGCAUAAGGUGGCUAGCGGGUGUCUGUCUCUCCUACUUUAGUCGGAACAGAUUCGAUGAAAAGGGUCCUUAUGAAGGGUAAAUAGAAAUUGGCAAAUCACGUUGUGGUCAUACGUAGGUAAGAAACGUUCUUGAUAGAAACCUACAAACCACGUAAAAACUUGCAACAACAAUUAGAGGACGUCUAACUUGUUUUUGCAGCAAGUGCUAUGUGAUGUGAUAUGGCCAGAAGAUGUGAUGAAUGAUAUAUGUGAUGUAUGAGAUUGAUCAUAUUCUUGUAAUAGGAAUCACGACUUGCAUGUCGAUGAGUAUGACAACCGACAGGAGCCAUAGGAGUUGUCUUUAUUAUUUUGUAUGACCUGCGUGUCAUUGAAUAACGCCAUGUAAAUUACUUUACUUUGUUGCUAAACACGUUAGCCAUAGAAGUAGAAGUAAUCGUUGGCGUGACGACUUCAUGAAGACACAAUGAUGGAGAUCAUGGUGUCAUGCCGGUGACGAAGAUGAUCAUGGUGCCCCGAAGAUGGAGAUCAAAGGAGCAUAAUGAUAUUGGCCAUAUCAUGUCACUAUUUGAUUGCAUGUGAUGUUUAUCAUGUUUUUGCAUCUUAUUUGCUUAGAACGACGGUAGUAAGUAAGAUGAUCCCUUAUAAUAAUUUUAAGAAAGUGUUCAGCCUAACUGUGCACGGUUGCGAAGGUUCGUUGUUUCGAAGCACCACGUGAUGAUCGGGUGUGAUAGAUCCUAACGUUCGAAUACAACGGGUGUUGACGAGCCUAGCAUGUACAGACAUGGCCUCGGAACACACGCAAUACACUUAGGUUGACUUGACGAGCCUAGCAUGUACAGACAUGGCCUCGGAACACGGAGGACCGAAAGGUCGAGCAUGAGUCGUAUAGAAGAUACGAUCAACAUGGAGAUGUUCACCGAUCUUGACUAGUCCGUCUCACGUGAUGAUCGGACACGGCCUAGUUGACUCGGAUCAUGUUUCACUUAGAUGACUAGAGGGAUGUCUAUCUGAGUGGGAGUUCAUAAAAUAAUUUGAUUAUAUGAACUUAAUUAUCAUGAACUUAGUCUAAAAUCUUUACACUCUGUCUUGUAGAUCAAAUGGCCAACGUUGUCCUCAAUUUCAACGCGUUCCUAGAGAAAACCAAGCUGAAAGAUGAUGGCAGCAAUUAUACGGACUGGGUCCGGAACCUGAGGCUCAUCCUCAUAGUAGCCAAGAAAUAUUAUGUCUUAGAAGCACCGCUAGGUGAAGCACCAAUCCCUGAGAACCAAGACGUUAUGAACGCCUGGCAAACACGUGCUGAUGAUUACUCCCUCGUUCAGUGCGGCAUGCUUUACAGCUUAGAACCGGGUCUCCAAAAGCGUUUUGAGAAACAUGGAGCAUAUGAGAUGUUCGAGGAGCUGAAAAUGGUUUUCCAAGCUCAUGCCCGGGUCGAGAGAUAUGAUGUCUCCGACAAGUUCUUCAGCUGUAAGAUGGAGGAGAACAGUUCUGUUAGUGAGCACAUACUCAGAAUGUCUGGGUUGCACAACCGCUUAACUCAGCUGGGAGUUAAUCUCCCGGAUGACGCGGUCAUUGACAGAAUCCUCCAGUCGCUUCCACCAAGCUACAAGAGCUUUGUGAUGAACUUCAAUAUGCAGGGGAUGGAAAAGACCAUCCCUGAGGUAUAUUCAAUGCUGAAAUCAGCGGAGGUGGAGAUCAGAAAAGAACAUCAAGUGUUGAUGGUGAAUAAAACCACUAAGUUCAAGAAGGGCAAGGGUAAGAAGAACUUCAAGAAGGACGGCAAGGGAGUUGCCGCGCCCGGUAAGCCAGUUACUGGGAAGAAGUCGAAGAAUGGACCCAAGCCUGAAACUGAGUGCUUUUAUUGCAAGGGAAGUGGUCACUGGAAGCGGAACUGCCCCAAAUACUUAGCGGACAAGAAGAAGGCCGACAACACCAAAGGUAUAUGUGAUAUACAUGUAAUUGAUGUGUACCUUACCAGUACUCGUAGUAGCUCCUGGGUAUUUGAUACCGGUGCGGUUGCUCAUAUUUGUAACUCAAAACAGGAACUACGGAAUAAACGGAGACUGGCGAAGGACGAGGUGACGAUGCGCGUCGGGAAUGGUUCCAAGGUCGAUGUGAUCGCCGUCGGCACGCUACCUCUGCAUCUACCCACGGGAUUAGUUUUAAACCUCAAUAAUUGUUAUUUAGUGCCAGCUUUGAGCAUGAACAUUGUAUCUGGAUCUCGUUUAAUUCGAGAUGGCUACUCAUUUAAAUCCGAGAAUAAUGGUUGUUCUGUUUAUUUGAGAGAUAUGUUUUAUGGUCAUGCCCCGCUGGUCAAUGGUUUAUUUUUGAUGAAUCUCGAACGUGAUGUUACACAUAUUCAUAGUGUGAAUACCAAAAGAUGUAAAGUUGAUAACGAAAGUCCCACAUACUUGUGGCACUACCGCCUUGGUCACAUUGGUGUCAAGCGCAUGAAGAAGCUCCAUGCAGAUGGACUUUUGGAGUCUCUUGAUUACGAAUCAUUUGACACAUGCGAACCAUGCCUCAUGGGUAAGAUGACCAAGACUCCGUUCUCCGGAACAAUGGAGCGAGCAACCAACUUAUUGGAAAUCAUACAUAUCGAUGUGUGCGGUCCAAUGAGUGUUGAGGCUCGCGGAGGAUAUCGUUAUGUUCUCACUCUCACUGAUGACUUAAGUAGAUAUGGGUAUGUCUACCUAAUGAAACACAAGUCUGGAACCUUUGAAAAGUUCAAGGAAUUUCAGAGUGAAGUUGAGAAUCAACGUGACAGAAAAAUAAAAUUCUUACGAUCAGAUCGUGGUGGAGAAUAUUUAAGUCACGAGUUUGGUGCACACUUAAGGAAAUGUGGAAUAGUUUCACAACUCACGCCGCCUGGAACACCUCAGAGAAAUGGUGUGUCCGAACGUCGUGAUCGCACUCUAUUGGAUAUGGUGCGAUCUAUGAUGUCUCUUACCGAUUUACCGCUCUCAUUUUGGGGUUAUGCUUUAGAGACUGCCACAUUCACUUUAAAUAGGGCUCCGUCUAAAUCCGUUGAGACGACACCGUAUGAAUUAUGGUUUGGGAAGAAACCUAAGCUGUCGUUUCUAAAAGUUUGGGGAUGCGAUGCUUAUGUCAAGAAACUUCAACCUGAAAAGCUCGAACCCAAGUCGGAAAAAUGCGUCUUCAUAGGAUACCCUAAGGAAACUAUUGGGUAUACCUUCUACCUCAGAUCCGAAGGCAAGAUCUUCGUUGCCAAGAACGGGUCCUUUCUGGAGAAGGAGUUUCUCUCGAAAGAAUUGAGUGGGAGGAAAGUGGAACUUGAUGAGGUGAUAGUCACCCCUUCCGAACCGGAAAGUAGCGCAGCGCGGGAAAAUGUUCCUGUGGUGCCUACACCGACUGGGGAGGAAGUUAAUGAUGAUGAUCAUGAAGCUUCAGAUCAAGUUACUGAACUUCGUAGGUCCACAAGGACACGUUCCGCACCAGAGUGGUACGGCAACCCUGUCCUGGAAAUCAUGUUGUUAGACAACGGUGAACCUUUGAACUAUGAAGAAGCGAUGGCGGGCCCGGAUUCCGACAAAUGGCUAGAAGCCAUGAAAUCCGAGAUAGAAUCCAUGUAUGAAAACAAAGUAUGGACUUUGACUGACUUGCCCGAUGAGCGGCGAGCCAUAGAAAACAAAUGGAUAUUUAAGAAGAAGACGGACGCAGAUGGUAAUGUGACCAUCUACAAAGCUCGACUUGUCGCUAAGGGUUAUCGACAAGUUCAAGGGGUUGACUACGAUGAGACUUUCUCACCCGUAGCGAAGCUGAAGUCCGUCCGAAUCAUGUUAGCAAUUGCCGCAUACUAUGAUUAUGAGAUAUGGCAGAUGGACGUCAAAACGGCAUUCCUUAACGGCUUCCUUAAGGAAGAGUUGUAUAUGAUGCAGCCGGAAGGUUUUGUCGAUCCUAAGAAUGCUAACAAAGUAUGCAAGCUCCAGCGCUCAAUCUAUGGGCUGGUCCAAGCAUCUCGGAGUUGGAACAUUCGCUUUGAUGAGAUGAUCAAAGCGUUUGGGUUUACACAGACUUAUGGAGAAGCCUGUGUUUACAAGAAAGUGAGUGGGAGCUCUGUAGCAUUUCUCUUAUUAUAUGUGGAUGACAUAUUAUUGAUGGGAAAUGAUAUGGAAUUCUUGGAAAGUAUUAAGGCCUAUUUGAAUAAGUGUUUUUCAAUGAAGGACCUUGGAGAAGCUGCUUAUAUAUUAGGCAUCAAGAUCUAUAGAGAUAGAUCAAGACGCCUCAUUGGUCUUUCACAGAGUACAUACCUUGACAAGAUAUUGAAGAAGUUCAGUAUGGAUCAGUCCAAGAAGGGGUUCUUGCCUGUAUUGCAAGGUGUGCAAUUGAGCACGGCUCAAUGCCCGACCACGGCAGAAGAUAUAGAAAAGAUGAGUGUCAUCCCCAAUGCCUCGGCCAUAGGGUCUAUUAUGUAUGCCAUGCUGUGUACCAGACCUGAUGUAAACCUUGCCGUAAGUUUGGUAGGAAGAUACCAAAGUAAUCCCGACAUGGAACACUGGACAGCGGUCAAGAAUAUCCUGAAGUACCUGAAGAGGACUAAGGAUAUGUUUCUCGUUUAUGGAGGUGACGAAGAGCUCGUCGUAAAGGGUUACGUCGACGCUAGCUUCGACACAGAUCUGGAUGACUCGAAGUCACAGACCGGAUACGUGUAUAUUUUGAAUGGAGGAGCAGUAAGCUGGUGCAGUUGCAAGCAAAGCGUCGUGGCGGGAUCUACAUGUGAAGCGGAGUACAUGGCAGCCUCGGAGGCAGCACAGGAAGCAGUCUGGAUGAAGGAGUUCAUUACCGACCUAGGGGUGAUUCCCAAUGCGUCGGGCCCGAUGACUCUCUUCUGUGACAACACUGGAGCUAUUGCCCUUGCGAAGGAGCCCAGGUUUCACAGGAAGACCAGGCAUAUCAAGCGUCGCUUCAACUCCAUUCGUGAAAGUGUUCAAAAUGGAGACAUAGAUAUUUGUAAAGUACACACGGACCUGAAUGUAGCAGAUCCGUUGACUAAACCUCUCCCUAGGGCAAAACAUGAUCAACACCAGGACGCAAUGGGUGUUCGAUUCAUCACAAUGUAACUAGAUUAUUGACUCUAGUGCAAGUGGGAGACUGUUGGAAAUAUGCCCUAGAGGCAAUAAUAAAUGGUUAUUAUUAUAUUUCUUUGUUCAUGGUAAUUGUCUAUUGUUCAUGCUAUAAUUGUAUUGUUCGGAAAUCGUAAUACAUGUGUGAACACAUAGACCACAACGUGUCCCUAGUAAGCCUCUAGUUGACUAGCUCGUUGAUCAACAGAUAGUCAUGGUUUCCUGACUAUGGACAUUGGAUGUCAUUGAUAACGGGAUCACAUCAUUAGGAGAAUGAUGUGAUGGACAAGACCCAAUCCUAAGCAUAGCAUAAAAGAUCGUGUAGUUUCGUUUGCUAGAGCUUUUCCAAUGUCAAGUAUCUUUUCCUUAGACCAUGAGAUCGUGCAACUCCCGGAUACCGUAGGAGUGCUUUGGGUGUGCCAAACGUCACAACGUAACUGGGUGACUAUAAAGGUGCACUACGGGUAUCUCCGAAAGUGUCUGUUGGGUUGGCACGGAUCGAGACUGGGAUUUGUCACUCCGUGUGACGGAGAGGUAUCUUUGGGCCCACUCGGUAAUGCAUCAUCAUAAUGAGCUCUAUGUGACUAAGGCGUUAGUCACGGGAUCAUGCAUUACGGUACGAGUAAAGAGACUUGCCGGUAACGAGAUUGAACAAGGUAUUGGGAUACCGACGAUCGAAUCUCGGGCAAGUAACAUACCGAUUGACAAAGGGAAUUGUAUACGGGAUUGAUUGAAUCCUCGACACCGUGGUUCAUCCGAUGAGAUCAUCGUGGAACAUGUGGGAGCCAACAUGGGUAUCCAGAUCCCGCUGUUGGUUAUUGACCGGAGAGGCGUCUCGGUCAUGUCUGCAUGUCUCCCGAACCCGUAGGGUCUACACACUUAAGGUUCGGUGACGCUAGGGUUGUAGAGAUAUGUGUAUGCGGAAACCCGAAAGUUGUUAAUCACAUGGCGUUGUGAACUAGAUUAUUGACUCUAGUAAACCCUUUGGGUGUUAAUCACAUGGCGAUGUGAACUAUUGGUGUUAAUCACAUGGCGAUGUGAACUAGAUUAUUGACUCUAGUGCAAGUGGGAGACUAAAGGAAAUAUGCCCUAGAGGCAAUAAUAAAGUUGUUAUUUUAUAUUUCCUUAUUCAUGAUAAAAGUUUAUUAUUCAUGCUAGAAUUGUAUUGAUCGGAAACCUAAAUACAUGUGUGAAUACAUAGACAAACACUGUGUCCCUAGUGAGCCUCUACUUGACUAGCUCGUUGUUCAAAGAUGGUUAAGGUUUCAUAACCAUGGACAUGUGUGGUCAUUUGAUAACGGGAUCACACCAUUAGGAGAAUGAUGUGAUAGACAAGACCCAUCCGUUAGCUUAGCAUAAUGAUCGUUCAGUUUUAUUGCUAUUGCUUUUUUCAUGUCAAAUACAUAUUCCUUCGACUAUGAGAUUAUGCAACUCCCGGAUACCGGAGGAAUGCCUUGUGUGCUAUCAAACGUCACAACAUAACUGGGUGAUCAUAAAGAUGCUCUACAGGUAUCUCCGAAGGUAUCUGUUGAGUUGGCAUAGAUCAAGAUUAGGAUUUGUCACUCUGAGUAUCGGAGAGGUAUCUCUGGGCCCUCUCGGUAAUACACAUCAUAAGCUUGUAAGCAAACGACUAAGGGGUUAGUCACGAGGUGAUGUAUUAUGGAACGAGUAAAGAGACUUGCCGGUAAGGAGAUUGAACUAGGUAUGAAGAUACCGACGAUCGAAUCUCGGGCAAGUAACAUACCGAUGGACAAAGGGAAUUAUGUGUGUUGUCAUAACGGUUCGACCGAUAAAGAUCUUCGUAGAAUAUGUAGGAGCCAAUAUGAUCAUCCAGGUUUCGCUAUUGGUUAUUGACCAGAGAGGUGUCUCGGUCAGUCUACAUAGUUCUCGAACCCGUAGGGUCCGCACGCUUAACGUUCGAUGAUGAUAUAAUAUUAUAUGAGUUAUGUGAUUUGGUGACCGAAUGUUGUUCGGAGUCCCGGAUGAGAUCACGGACAUGACGAGGAGUCUCUAAAUGGUUGAGAGGUAAAGAUUGAUAUAUAGGACGAUGGUAUUCAGACACCGGAAGUGUUCCGGAGGGUACCGGGUACAUAUCGGGUCACUGGAAGGGGUUCCAAGAUAUGGGCCUUAUGGGCCAAGAGGGGAAAUGCACCAGCCACAAGGGGCUAGUGCGCCCCCAUAUGGGCGGGCCAAGGUGGAGAAGGAAAGGGGAAGGAGGAAAGGAAAGAAAGGGAAUAUGAUUCCCCCUUCCUCCCCCUCCCCCUCUUUCCGUCCCCCUCCGAUAUAUAUGGCAGGGGGCGCGCGGCUUGGGACGAGCCCAAGUAGGAUUUGGUCCUACUUGGGGCGCCUCCUGGCCUCUCCCCUUCCCCUCCCACCUAUAUAUAUGUGGGGGGCACCCCUAGCACACCCCAAACAAUUGUCUAGCCGUGUGCGGUGCCCCCCUCCAUAGUUUACACCCCAGUCAUAUUCUCACGAUGCUUAGGCGAAGCCCUGCGAGGAUCACUUCACCAUCACCGUCGUGCUGACGGAACUCAUCUACUACCUCGACGUCUUUCUGGAUCAAGAAGACGAGGGACAUCACCGAGCUGAACGUGUGCAGAACGCGGAGGUGCCGUACGUUCAGUACUUGAUCGGUUGGAUCACGAAGAAGUUCAACUACAUCAACCGCGUUGUUAAACGCUUCCGCUUACGGUCUAAAAGGGUACGUAGACACACUCCCCCCUCGUUGCAAUGCAUCUCCAUGGAUAGAUCAUUGUGUGUGUGUAGAAUUUUUUUUGUUUUCCAUGCUACGUUUCCCAACAACACCACGAACACCAAGCUGUGUGCGGCGCCCCGUCUCCCUCUAGUUCUAGUUCCUCCUCUGUCCACGUCCGUUGUGCUUGGCGAAGCCCUACGGAUAGUUUCACCACCACCGUCACCACGCCAUUGUGCUGCCGGAACUCAUCUACUACUUCGCCUAUCUUUCUGGAUCAAGAAGGCGAGGGCAUCAUCGAGCUGAACAUGUGCUGAACGCGGACGUGCCGUACGUUCGAUACUUGACCGGGACGGAUCAUGAAGGUGUACGACUACAUCAACCGCGUUGAUAAACGCUUCCUCUUAGCGAUCUACAAGGGUAUGUAGAUGCUCUCCCCCUCUCGUAGCUAUGCAUCUUAAUGGAUAGAUCUUGCGUGUGCCUAGAAUCUUUUUGUUUUCCAUGCAACGUUCCCCAACACUAUGUUUAUUUGUUAAAUACUAAUGAUAAGGCUCUACACUACUUUAAAAUCUAUAAGGAAGAAGUUGAGAUCCAACUUGAAAAGAAAAUAAAUCAAGUUCGAUCUGAUCGUGGCAGAGAGUACUUUUCUAAUGAGUUUGAUUUAUUCUGUGGUACUAUUCAUGAGAGGACGCCUCCCUACUCACCCCAGUCAAACGGGGUUGCCGUACGGAAAACCCGUACUCUAACAGAUUUGGUUAACGCCAUGUUAGAUACAUCGGGUUUAUCCAAGGCAUGAUGGGGGGAGGUUGUAUUGACAUCAUGUCAUGUCCUGAAUAAAGUUCCCACAAAGGAUAAUGAGACUACUCCCUAUGAGCAAUGGGAGAAGAAAAGAACUACACUCUCUUACUUGCGCACUUGGGGCUGUUUGACGAAAGUCAAUGUGCCGAUAAUCAAAAAGCGUAAGUUGGGACCAAAGAGUAUGGACUGCGUUUUUCUGGGUUAUGCCAAGCAUAGCAUUGGCUAUAGAUUUCUAGUGGUGAAAUCUAAUGCACAUGACGUAAAGGUCGGUACGAUCAUGGAGUCUAAAGAUGCUACAUUCUUUGAGGAUAUUUUCCCCAUGAGAGAUAUGCAAAGCACUUCUAGACUGGAAUCUGAUGAGACUCCUGAAUCUUCCAUUCCGAUAUAAUAUUAUGAACAAAAAAGUGAUGAAAGUUCCAUGGAGGAUGACGAGGAAGCUCCUAUUAGGAGCAAGAGACAAAGGGUUGCAAAGUCCUUUGGUGACAAUUUCCUCAUGUACCUCGUGGAUGACACUCCUAGUUCCAUUUCAGAAGCCUAUGCAUUACCAGAUGUUGACUACUGGAAGGAUGCGGUCCGUAGCGAGGUGGAUUCCAUCUUAGCUAACGGGACAUGGGAGAUCAAUAAUCGUCCUUAUGGUUUCCAACCAUUGGGAUGUAAGUGGGUGUUCAAAAAAGCUUAGGACCGAUGGUAAUAUUAAGAAGUAUAAGGUUAGGAUUGUGGCCAAGUGUUAUACCCAGAAAGAAGAAGAUUUCUUCGAUACUUACUCACCUAUGGCUAGACUGACAACCAUUCGAGUGUUACUCUCGUUUGCUGCCUCAUAUGGUCUUCUUCUCCAUCAGAUGGACGUUAAGAUGACUUUCCUUAGCCUGCACUUGUUAUUGUUGUUGUUAGCAUCAUAUAGGUUGCUCACCUAGUUGCACAUCUAGACAACCUAUUUGUUGCUAACCUAAUUUGUUAAGAAAAGCUAAAAAUUGGUAGUUGCCUAUUCACCCCCCUCUAGUCAACCAUAUCGAUCCUUUCAAUUGGUACCAGAGCUUCGUCUCUUUAUUAAGGGUUUCACCACCCGAAGAGUAUGGUUGACACCGGGGAGGUUGUGCCCGAGGCCGUGGAGUUGACUUUGAUCACUCGAGACAACUUAAAUGAAGCCAUGGCUUCACUUAAGAUGUCUAUGAUGGCCAAAGGCAAGUCCAUGCUUAAAGAAUUACUUGAGGGGAUGAAAUCCACUCCCGGUCCCUUGCUUGUGGUUAAUCCCACGUUGCUUGCUCUAUACCAAGAGUUUAGGGAUUUGUCGAGUUGCGAGUGUGUUUUAUUGGCCUUGUCUUUCUCUCUCGCAAACUCUUUUGUCAGUCGUUUGUGCUUAUGAGACCUGGCUACCCUAUCAUAUGGUGUGAGACAUAUGCUAUCCUAUCCUAUGCUUAUCUAAUGCAUGUCUAGUACUUUGGUAGUUUGGGAGUUGCAUGCUUAAUGCUACCUCCUGAGCACUGCGUUGGUUUUCCCUUGAAGAGGAAAGGGUGAUGCAGUAAAGCAUCGUAAGUAUUUCCCUCAGUUUUUGAGAACCAAGGUAUCAACCCAGUAGGAGGCCACGCACGAGUCCCUCACACCUACACAAACAAAUAAAAUCCUCGCAACCAACGCAAUAAAGGGGUUGUCAAUCCCUUCACGGUCACUUACGAAAGUGAGAUCUGAUAGAUAUGAUAAGAUAAUAUUUUUGGUAUUUUUAUAAUAAAGAUGCAAAGUAAAAUAAAAGGCAAUAAAAAUAGCUAAGUGUUGGAAGAUUAAUAUGAUGGAAAAUAGACCCAGGGGCCAUAGGUUUCACUAGUGGCUUCUCUCGAGAGCAUAAGUAUUACGGUGGGUGAACAAAUUACUGUUGAGCAAUUGAUAGAAUUGAGCAUAGUUAUGAGAAUAUCUAGGUAUGAUCAUGUAUAUAGGCAUCACGUCCGUGACAAGUAGAACGACUCCUGCCUGCAUCUACUACUAUUACUCCACACAUCGACCGCUAUCCAGCAUGCAUCUAGAGUAUCAAGUUCAUAAGAACAGAGUAACGCUUUAAGCAAGAUGACAUGAUGUAGAGGGAUAAACUCAUGCAAUAUGAAAUAAACCCCAUCUUGUUAUCCUCGAUGGCAACAAUACAAUACGUGCCUUGCUGCCCCUGCUGUCACUGGGAAAGGACACCGCAAGAUUGAACCCAAAGCUAAGCACUUCUCCCAUUGCAAGAAAGAUCAAUCUAGUAGGCCAAACCAAACUGAUAAUUCGAAGAGACUUGCAAAGAUAACCAAUCGUACAUAAAAGAAUUCAUCGGUCUCAACAAACACACCGCAAAAGAAGAUUAUAUCGAAUAGAUCUCCAUGAGAAUCGUGGAGAACUUUGUAUUGAGAUCCAAAGAGAGAGAAGAAGCCAUCUAGCUAAUAACUAUGGACCCGAAGGUCUGAGGUAAACUACUCACACAUCAUCGGAGAUGCUAUGGUGUUGAUGUAGAAGCCCUCCGUGAUCAAUGCCCGCUCCGGCAGGAUGCCGGAAAAGGCCCCAAGAUGGGAUCUCACGGGUACAGAAGGUUGCGGCGGUGGAAUUAGGUUUUCGUGGAUGUUUCUGUUGGUUUGGGGGUACGUAGGUAUAUAUAGGAAAAAGAAGUACGUCGGUGGAGCAACAUGGGCCCCACGAGGGUGGAGGGCGCGCCCAGGGGGGUAGGCGCGCCCCCUACCUCGUGCCCUCCUGGUUGCUUUCUUGACGUAGGGUCCAAGUCCUCUGGAUCACGUUUGUUCCAAAAAUCACGUUCCCGAAGGUUUUAUUCCGUUUGGACUCUGUUUGAUAUUCUUUUUCCGCAAAACACUGAAAUAGGCAAAAAAAACAGCAAUUUGGGCUGGGCCUCCGGUUAAUAGGUUAGUCCCAAAAAUAAUAUAAAAGUGUAUAACAAAGCCCAUUAAUCAUCCAAAACAGAAUAUAAUAUAGCAUGAAGCAAUAAAAAAAUUAUAGAUACGUUGGAGACGUAUCAAGCAUCCCCAAGCUUAAUUCCUGCUCGUCCUCGAGUAGGUAAAUGAUAAAAACAAAUUUUUUGAUGCGGAAUGCUACUUGGCAUAUUUUUUUAAUGUAACCCUCUUAAUUGUGGUAUGAAUAUUCAGAUCCGAAAAUAUUCAAGAUAAAAGUUUAAUAUUGACAUAAAAGUAAUAGUACUUCAAGGAUACUAACUAAGCAAUUAUGUCUUCUCAAAAUAACAUGGCCAAAGAAAGUUCAUCCCUACAAAAUCAUAUAGUUUAGUCAUGCUCCAUUUUCGUCACACAAGAAUGCUCUCAUCAUGCACAACCCCGAUGACAAGCCAAGCAAUUGUUUCAUACUUUAGUAAUCUCAAACCUUUUCAACCUUGACGCAAUACAUGAGCGUGAGCCAUGGAUAUAACACUAUGGGUGGAAUAGAAUAUAAAGAUGGGGGUUAUGUAGAGAAGACAAAAAAGGAGAAAGUCUCACAUCAACGCGGCCAAUCAACGGGCUAUGGAGAUGCCCAUCGAUUGAUGUUAAUGCGAGGAGUAGGGAUUGCCAUGCAACGGAUGCACUAGAGCUAUAAAUGCAUAAAAGCUCAACAAAAGAAACUAAGUGGGUGUGCAUCCAACUUGCUUGCUCACGAAGACCUAAGGCAUUUGAGGAAGCCCAUUGUUGGAAUAUACAAGCCAAGUUCUAUAAUGAAAAAUUCCCACUAGUAUAUGAAAGUGACAAAACAAGAGACUCUAUCAUGAAGAUCAUGGUGCUACUUUGAAGCACAAGUGUGGAAAAAGGAUAGUAGCAUUGUCCCUUUUUUUAUUUUUGGGUCUUUCUCUUUUUUUUAUUGGGACAAUGCUCUAUGAAUGAUGAUCAUCACACUUCUAUUUAUUUACAACUCAAUGAUUACAAUUCGAUACUAGAACAAAGUAUGACUCUAUAUGAAUGCCUCCGGCGGUAUACCGGGAUGGGCAAUGAAUCAAGAGUGACAUGUAUGAAAAAUUAUGAACGGUGGCUUUGCCACAAAUACGAUGUCAACUACAUGAUCAUGCAAAGCAAUAUGACAAUGAUGAACGUGUCAUGAUGAACGGAAUGGUGGAAAGUUGCAUGGCAAUAUAUCUCGGAAUGGCUAUGGAAAUGCCAUAAUAGGUAGGUAUGGUGGCUGUUUUGAGGAAGAUAUAAGGAGGUUUAUGUGUGAUAGAGCGUAUCAUAUCACGGGGUUUGGAUGCACCGGCGAAGUUUGCACCAACUCUCAAUGUGAGAAAGGGCAAUGCACGGUACCGAAGAGGCUAGCAAUGAUGGAAGGGUAAGAGUGCGUAUAAUCAAUUGACUCAACAUUAGUCAUAAAGAACUCACAUACUUAUUGCAAAAAUCUACAAGUCAUCAACUACGCGCAUGCUCCUAGGGGGAUAGAUUGGUAGGAAAAGACCAUCGCUCGUCCCCGACCGCCACUCAUAAGGAAGACAAUCAAAGAACACCUCAUGUUUCAAAUUUGUUACAUAACGUUUACCAUACGUGCAUGCUACGGGACUUGCAAACUUCAACACAAGUAUUUCUCAAUUUCACAACUACUCAACUAGCACAACUUUAAUAUCACUACCUCCAUAUCUCAAAACAAUCAUCAAGCAUCAAACUUCUCUUAAUAUUCAACGCACUUAUAAGAAAGUUUUUUACUAGUCUUGAAUACCUAACAUGUUAGGAUUAAUUUCCCAACUUAAGCAAAUUACCAUGCUGUUUAAGACUCUCAAAAUAAUAUAAGUGAAGCAUGAGAGAAUAAUAGUUUCUAUAAAACAAAAGCACCGCCGUGCUCUAAAAGAUAUAAGUGAAGCACUAGAGCAAAAACUAUAUAGCUCAAAAGAUAUAAGCGAAGCGCAUAGAGUAUUCUAAUAAAUUCCAAAUCAUAUGUGUCUCUCUCAAAAGGUGUGUACAGAAAAUAUGAUUGUGGCAAACUUAACAAAUAAAGACUCAAAUAAUACAAGACGCUCCAAGCAAAACACAUAUCAUGUGGUGAAUAAAAAUAUAGCUCCAAGUAAAGUUACCGAUGGAAGUAGACGAAAGAGGGGAUGCCUUCCGGGGCAUCCCCAAGCUUUGGCUUUUGGUGUCCUUAGAUUAUCUUGGGGUGCCAUGGGCAUCCCCAAGCUUAGGCUCUUGCCACUCCUUGUUCCAUAAUCCAUCAAAUCUUUUACCCAAAACUUGAAAACUUCACAACACAAAACUUAACAGAAAAUCUCGUGAGCUCCGUUAGCGAAAGAAAACAAAACACCACUUCAAGGUACUGUAAUUAACUCAUUAUUUAUUUAUAUGGGUGUUAAACCUACUGUAUUCCAACUUCUCUAUGGUUUAUAAACUAUUUUACUAGCCAUAGAUUCAUCAAAAUAAGCAAACAACACAUGAAAAACAGAAUCUGUCAAAAACAGAACAAUCUGUAGUAAUCUGUAACUAACACAAACUUCUGGAACUUGAAAAAUUCAGCCAAAAUAGGGAGAACUAAAAAAUUUGUUUAUUGAUCUUCUGCAAUUGGAAUCAAUAUCAUGUCACGUUCUGAUAAUUUUUAACAAUUGUUUUCGUGAACAGAAAGUUUCUGGAAUUUUCAGCAAGAUCAAAUAACUAUCAUCCAAGAAGAUCCUAUAGGUUUAACUUGGCACAAACACUAAUUAAAACAUAGAAACAAAUCUAACCAGAGGCCAGAUCAAAUAUUUAUUCCUAAACAGAAGCAAAAAGCAAAAAAACUAAAAAUAAAAUUGGGUUGCCUCCCAACAAGCGCUAUCGUUUAACGCCCCUAGCUAGGCAUAAAAGCAAGGAUAGAUCUAGGUAUUGCCAUAAUAAUAGGAUAGAUCACGAAAACUCAUUUCGUAUUCUCUACGUUCAGCAGCAAGUUUUCUUUGAGGCAAACAAAAGUAAUCAAAAGGGCUAAAUUUAAUGGGACAGAAGUCCCCAAGAUCAACCUUUGGAGGUAUAGGUUCCUCCUUCGGCCCUUCAUAUUGCACAACCAAUUCAUCAUUAUAAGCGUUCUUUUAACAAAAUUUCGUGAGCCUAUACUCGAGAGAGUAUCCUAGCUCAUUAUUUCGAAUAGCAAAAUCAUUAUUAAGUUCAGAAAUUCUAUUAACUAGAACAUUGGUAGGAACCUUUUUUCUAAGGUUUUCGUUAAAAGCAACAUAGUCUAGAGAUUGAAAACGCAUUAUUUCCUCUUGAUCAAAUAAGACAGUCUCUAUGGGAGGACGGCCAGCGUCCACCCUAUAGUGCGCAAAGAUUUCUUUGGCCUCUUUUAUAAUAAAUCUGAAUUCAUGAGCCAAAAAGAUAGUAGCGGCACGCUUAACAGAAGAAUGCUCAAUAUUAGAAAAUUCUAGGAAAAUCCUUUGUAUGCAAGGGUGCAUGUGCAUAAAUUGCCUUUCAAGUUCAACUACAAGCAUGGCAAUAGCGUCUGCGAGACUACUAGUUCUAUGAAGAAUAGAACUACCCAUAGAAGGCAAAGCACGGCACAAGUAAACAAAUCUUGAAUAACCCCUUUUCCAAUAAUAUUACCACUACCAAUUCAGAAUUUUUUUGUAUGUAAGAUAGGGGGUUCUUCAGCAGGAGCAUCAGAAUUUUCCAUGUUAUUGUUAUUGUCCAUAUCGACAAUAAUUUCCCCAAUUUUAGACAUAACGGCAGAAAGUGCGAGGAGCAAAAAGAAAGAGGGAGGCGAACGGAAAAUAGAGGGCGAAUAAAACGGCAAUGAUGAAGUGGGGGAGAGGAAAACGAGAGGCAAAUGGCAAAUAAUGUAAUGCGGGAGAUAAGAGUUUGUGAUGGGUACUUGGUAUGUUGACUUUUGCGUAGACUCCCCGGCAACGGCGCCAGAAAUCCUUCUUGCUACCUCUUGAGCACUGCGUUGGUUUUCCCUUGAAGAGGAAAGGGUGAUGCAGUAAAGCAGCGUAAGUAUUUCCCUCAAUUUUUGAGAACCAAGGUAUCAAUCCAGUAGGAGGCCACGCACGAGUCCCUCGCACCUACACAAACAAAUAAAAACCUCGUAACCAACGCAAUAAAGGGGUUGUCAAUCCCUUCACGGUCACUUACGAAAGUGAGAUCUGAUAGAUAUGAUAAGAUAAUAUUUUUGGUAUUUUUAUAAUAAAGAUGCAAAGUAAAAUAAAAGGCAAUAAAAAUAGCUAAGUGUUGGAAGAUUAAUAUGAUGGAAAAUAGACCCCGGGGCCAUAGGUUUCACUAGUGGCUUCUCUCGAGAGCAUAAGUAUUACGGUGGGUGAACAAAUUACUGUUGAGCAAUUGAUAGAAUUGAGCAUAGUUAUGAGAAUAUCUAGGUAUGAUCAUGUAUAUAGGCAUCACGUCCGUGACAAGUAGAACGACUCCUGCCUGCAUCUACUACUAUUACUCCACACAUCGACCGCUAUCCAGCAUGCAUCUAGAGUAUUAAGUUCAUAAGAACAGAGUAACGCUUUAAGCAAGAUGACAUGCUGUAGAGGGAUAAACUCAUGCAAUAUGAAAUAAACCCCAUCUUGUUAUCCUCGAUGGCAACAAUACAAUAUGUGCCUUGCUGCCCCUGCUGUCACUGGGAAAGGACACCGCAAGAUUGAACCCAAAGCUAAGCACUUCUCCCAUUGCAAGAAAGAUCAAUCUAGUAGGCCAAACCAAACUGAUAAUUCGAAGAGACUUGCAAAGAUAACCAAUCAUACAUAAAAUAAUUCAGAGAAGAUUCAAAUAUUGUUCAUAGAUAAACUUGAUCAUAAACCCACAAUUCAUCGGUCUCAACAAACACACCGCAAAAGAAGAUUACAUCGCAUAGAUCUCCAUGAGAAUCGUGGAGAACUUUGUAUUGAGAUCCAAAGAGAGAGAAGAAGCCAUCUAGCUAAUAACUAUGGACCCGAAGGUCUGAGGUAAACUACUCACACAUCAUCGGAGAUGCUAUGGUGUUGAUGUAGAAGCCCUCCGUGAUCAAUGCCCCCUCCGGCAGGAUGCCGGAAAAGGCCCCAAGAUGGGAUCUCAUGGGUACAGAAGGUUGCGGCGGUGGAAUUAGGUUCUUGUGGAUGCUUCUGUUGGUUUGGGGGUACGUAGGUAUAUAUAGGAGAAAGAAGUACGUCGGUGGAGCAACAUGGGCCCCACGAGGGUGGAGGGCGCGCCCAGGGGGGUAGGCGCGCCCCCUACCUCGUGCCCUCCUGGUUGCUUUCUUGACGUAGGGUCCAAGUCCUCUGGAUCACGUUUGUUCCGAAAAUCACGUUCCCGAAGGUUUCAUUCCGUUUGGACUCCGUUUGAUAUUCCUUUUCCGCGAAACACUAAAAUAGGCAAAAAAACAGCAAUUUGGGCUGGGCCUCCGGUUAAUAGGUUAGUCCCAAAAAUAAUAUAAAAGUGUAUAACAAAGCCCAUUAAUCAUCCAAAACAGAAUAUAAUAUAGCAUGAAGUAAUAAAAAAUUAUAGAUACGUUGGAGACGUAUCACUUAACUUGUUCCUAUUAUGCUCACUUUCUACUCCUUGCAUCCUAGCUUAUAUGUCUCUUAUUUUAGAUGCAAGUGUUGUCUGGAUAUAAAAUAUAGGAGGAGUGUUGAUCCUAAUGUGUGUACUUGCAUUCCAAAGGCACUCCUAACUAAGUGCAGACAUCUAAGGGGAGCCUGCCUAUAUUUUGUAGUCUCUGGGGUUUGCUUAUUUUCUUGUUUUAUCUCUAUGCAAAUCCCGCGUUGUCAUCAAUCCACCAGAAAGGGGGAGAUUGUUAGGGCAUGUCUCUCUCUCUAAGUGGUUUUGGUGAUUGAUGACAAUGCGUUUGCGGACUAAUCAUGUGCACUGCUUUCAAAUACUUAUUCAUUGGCAUGAGACGAUUCAUUUCCCCUCAGUGUUUAAGGAGAAGACGGUGUGUUUAAUUCGUUUCAGUUUUGGUGGACUUGAGUCGUAGGAAACACCGUACUAUCAAGAGGGGGUCCGUAUUGGAAAGGUUAGGGUGGAAUCAACACGUACACGUCCCCUUUGCACCCCAACUCUUUCCUGCAUCUUUGGAGGAUCCUUUGUUGUCUUGGAAGUGGGCUUGAUAGGGAUCCAGCGGAAGUACCGCGGCGCCGAGCGGUAGUACCGCCCAGAGCCACAGGCGGCAAUACCGCUGUUCGUCAGCAGUAGUACCGCCUGGGGGUCUCGCUUGUAGUACCGCUUCGGUGCCAUGCUAUUACCGCCUCGAUUCAAGAGCGUUGCUUCUCGUGUCGGGUUGUGAGGCAGUUGCGGCGGUAGUACCGCUCACGAGCGGUAGUAUCGCCCGACUACCGCUGCUAGUGCCACCCGGGCUCUCGCUCUCGUGCCCCUUCCCCCUUGAGGCCUCUGCCCUCUAUCUCUGCGGUAGUACCGCUGGGACUCGCGGUAGUACUGCUGUCGCCAGCGGUNNNNNNNNNNNNNNNNNNNNNNNNNNNNNNNNNNNNNNNNNNNNNNNNNNNNNNNNNNNNNNNNNNNNNNNNNNNNNNNNNNNNNNNNNNNNNNNNNNNNNNNNNNNNNNNNNNNNNNNNNNNNNNNNNNNNNNNNNNNNNNNNNNNNNNNNNNNNNNNNNNNNNNNNAGAAGACCUACCUUUUUCCCCCAAGCUCCAUUGUUGCUCCAAAGAUCAUUUUCACCCAAUCUCUCUCCCUAGCCAAUCAAACUUGUUGAUUUUCUAGGGUUUGGUUGAGAAGGCCCGGAUCUACAGUUCCACCAAGAGAAAUUUGAUUCCCCCCACUAAUCCCUUGCGGAUCUUGUUACUCUUGGGUGUUUGAGCACCCUAGACGGUUGAGGUGACCUCGGAGCCACAUAUCAUUGUGGUGAAGCUCCAUGGUAUCAUUGGGAGCCUCCAAUCAAGUUGUGGUGAUAGCCCCAACCUUAUUUGUAAAGGUUCGGUCGUCGCCUUCAAGGGCACCACUAGUGGAAUCACGGCAUCUCGCAUUGUGUGAGGGCGUGAGGAGAAUACGGUGGCCCUAGUGGCUUCUUGGGGAGCAUUGUGCCUCCACACCGCUUCAACGGAGACGUACUUCCCCCAAAGGGAAGGAACUUCGGUAACACAUCCUCGUCUCCACCGGCUCCACUUGUGGUUAUCUCUUCCCUUUACUUUGUGCAAGUUAUUAUUGUGUUGUAUCCUUAGCUUGCACUUGUUAUUGUUGUUGUUAGCAUCAUAUAGGUUGCUCACCUAGUUACACAUCUAGACAACCUAUUUGUUGCUAAACCUAAUUUGUUAAGAAUAGCUAAAAAUUGGUAGUUGCCUAUUCACCCCCCCUCUAGUCAACCAUAUCGAUCCUUCCACUCGCGAUAUAGCUCCCCUAUUUUGAUAUGUUCCUAGAGAAAACUAAGUUGAAAGAUGAUGGUAGCAAUAACGCGGACUCGGUCCGUGAUCUAAGGAUUAUCCUCAUUGUUGCACAGAAGAAUUAUGUCCUUAAUGCACCGCUAGGUGACAGACCUAUUGCAGGAAUAGAUAUAGACGUUAUGAACGUUUGGCAAGCUCGAUAUGAUGACUACUUAAUAGUUUAGUGCGCCAUGCUUUAUGACAUAGAAACGGGACUUCAAAAAUGUUUUGAACGCCACGGAGCACAUGAGAUGUUCCAAGAGCUGAAAUUGGUAUUUCAGACUCAUGCCCAUGUCAAGAGGUAUGAGACCUCUGACAAGUACUUUGCCUACAAGAUGGAGGAGAGUAGCUCAGCCAGCGAUCAUGUGCUCAGAAUGUCUGGGUACUACAAUCGCUUGAAUCAAGUGGGAGUUAAUCUUCCGGAUAAGAUAGUGAUUGCCAGAGUUCUCUAGUCACUAUCACCAAGCUACUAGAACUUCAUGAUGAAUAUAAUAUGCAAGGGAUGACGAUAACGAUUCCUGAGCUCUUCAUGAUACUGAAAUCGACGAAGGAAGAAAUCAAGAAAGAGCAUCAGGUGUUGAUGGUUAACAAGACCACUAGUUUCAAGAAAAAGGGCAAGGGAAAGAAAGGAACUUCAAGAAGAAUGGCAAGCAAGUUGCCACUCCCGGGAAGAAGCCCAAAGCUGGACCCAAGCCUGAAACUGAGUGCUUCUACUUCAAAGGGACUGGUUACUGGAAGCGGAACUGCCCCAAAUACUUGGCGGAUAAGAAGGAUGGCAAAGUGAACAAAGGUAUAUUUGAAAUACAUGUAAUUGAUGUGUUCCUUAGUAAUGCUCGUAGUAGCGCCUGGUUAUUCGAUACUGGUUCAGUUGCUCAUAUUUGUAACUCGAAACAGGAGCUGCGGAAUAAAUGAAGAUUGGCUAAGGACGAGGUGACGAUGCGCGUCGGAAAUGGUUCCAAGGUCGACGUGAUCGCCAUCGGCACGCUACCUCUACAUCUACCUUCGGGAUUAGUUUUAGACCUCAAUAAUUGUUAUUUGGUGCCUGUGUUGAGCAUGAACAUUAUAUCUGGAUCUUGUUUAUUGCGGGACGGUUAUUCAUUUAAGUCAGAGAAUAAUGGUUAUUCUAUUUAUAUGAAUAAUAUCUUUUAUGGUUAUGCACCCUUGAAGAGUGGUCUAUUCUUGUUGAAUCUCGAUAGUAGUGAUAAACAUAUUCAUAAUAUUGAUGCCAAAAGAUGCAAAGUUGAUAAUGAUAGUGCAACAUACUCGUGGCACUGCCGUUUAGGUCAUAUUGGUGUAAAGUGCAUGAAGAAACUCCAUGCAGAUGGACUUUUGAAAUCACUUGAUUAUGAAUCAUUUGAUACUUGCGAACCAUGCCUCAUGGGCAAGAUGACUAAAACUCUGUUCUUUGGAACAAUGGAGCGAGCUAAUGACUUAUUGGAAAUAAUACAUACCGAUUAUGCGGUCCGACGAGUGUUGAGGCACGAGGCGGGUAUCGUUAUUUUCUGACCUUCACAGAUGAUUUGAGUAGGUAUGGAUAUAUCUACUUAAUGAAACACAAGUCUGAAACAUUUGAAAAGUUCUAAGAAUUCCAGAGUGAAGUGGAGAAUCAUCGUAACAAGAAAAUAAAGUUUCUACGAUGUGAUCAUGGAGGCAAAUAUUUGAGUUACGAGCUUGGCUUUCAUUUAAAACAAUGUGGAAUUGUUUCACAACUCACGCCACCUUGAACACCACAGCGUAAUGGUGUGUCUAAACGUCGUAACCAUGCUUUAUUAGAUAUGGUGCGUUCUAUGAUGUCUCUUACCGAUUUACCACUAUCGGUUUGGGGUUAUGCAUUAGAGACAUCCGCAUUCACGUUAAAUAGGGCACCAUCUAAACCCGUUGAGAUGACACCGUAUGAACUUUGGUUUGGCAAGAAACCUAAGCUGUCGUUUCUUAAAGUUUGGGGUUGUGACACUUAUGUCAAAAGGCUUCAGCCUGAUAAGCUCGAACCCAAAUCAGAUAAGUGCGUCUUCAUAGGAUACCCGAAGGAAACAAUUGGGUAGACCUUCUACCACAGACCCGAAGGCAAGAUCUUUGUUGCUAAAAAUGGAUCCUUUCUAGAGGAGUUUCUCUUCAAAGAAGUGAGUGGGAGGAAAGUAGAACUUGAUGAGGUAAUUGUACCUUCUCUUGAAUUGGAAAGUAGUACAUCAGAGAAAUCUGUUCCCGUGAUGCCUACACCAACUAGAGUGGAAGCUAAUGAUGAUCAUGAAACUUCAGAUCAAGUUACUACUGAACUUCGUAGGUCGACCAGAACACGAUCUGCACCAGACUGGUACGGCAAUCCUGUCCUGGAAGUUAUGUUAUUAGACCAUGGCGAACCUACAAACUAUGCAGAAGCUAUGAUGAGUCCAAAUUCCGAUAAAUGGCUUGAGGCCAUGAAAUCUGAGAUAGGAUCCAUGUAUGAGAAAAAAGUAUGGACUUUGGUGGAUUUGCCCGAUGAUCGGCAAGCCAUAGAAAAUAAAGGGAUCUUUAAUAAGAAGACUGACGCUGAUGGUAAUGUUACUGUCUACAAAGCUCGACUUGUCGCGAAAGAUUUUUGACAAGUUCAAGGAGUUGACUACGAUGAGACUUUCUCACCCGUAACGAUGCUUAAUGAUACGUCUCCAUCGUAUCUAUAAUUUUUGAUUGUUCCAUGCCAAUAUUAUACAACUUUCAUAUACUUUUGGCAACUUUUUAUACUAUUUUUGGGACUAACAUAUUGAUCCAGUGCCCAGUGCCAGUUCCUCUUUGUUGCAUAUUUUUGUUUCGCAGAAACCCCAGAUCAAACGGAAUCCAAACGUAAUAAAAACGGACGGGGAAUAUUUUUGGAAUAUUUGGAAAAUAUGGGAAGAAGAAUCAACGCGAGACGGUGCCCGAGGUGGCCACGAGACAGGGGGCGCCCCUGACCCUCGUGGGCCCCUCGUAAGGCGGUUGCUGCUAUUCUUUGGCCGCAAGAAAGCUACUUUUCGGAGAAAAAUCUGGGUGAAGGUUUCAAUCCAAUCGGAGUUACGGAUCUCCGGAUAUAUAAGAAACGGUGAAAGGGCAGAAUCCCAGAACGCAGAAACAGAGAGAGACAGAGAGACAGAUCCAAUCUCGGAGGGGCUCUCGCCCCUCCCACGCCAUGGAGACCAAGGACCAGAGGGGAAACACUUCUCCCACCUAGGGAGAAGGUCAAGGAAGAAGAAGAAGAAGGGGGGCUCUCUCCCCCUCGCUUCCGGUGGCGCCGGAGUGCCACCGGGGGCCAUCAUCAUCAUCGCAAUCUACACCAACACCUCCAUCAUCUUCACCAACAUCUCCAUCACCUUCCCCCAUCUAUCUACAGCGGUCCACUCUCCCGCAACCCGUUGUACCCUCUACUUGAACAUGGUGCUUUAUGCUUCAUAUUAUUAUCCAAUGAUGUGUUGCCAUCCUAUGAUGUCUGAGUAGAUUUUCGUUGUCCUAUCGGUGGUUGAUGAAUUGCUAUGAUUGAUUUAAUUUGCUUGUGGUUAUGUUGCUGUCCUUUGGUGCCCAUCAUAUGAGUGCGCGCGUGGAUCACACCAUAGGGUUAGUUGUAUGUUGAUAGGACUAUGUAUUGGAGGGCAAGAGUGACAGAAGCUUCAACCUAGCAUAGAAAUUGAUGCAUACGGGAUUGAAGGGGGACCAAUAUAUCUUAAUGCUAUGGUUGGGUUUUACCUUAAUGAAUGUUAGUAGUUGCGGACGCUUGCUAAUAGUUCCAAUUAUAAGUGCAUAGAAUUCCAAGUCAGGGAUGACAUGCUAGCAGUGGCCUCUCCCACAUAAAACUUGCUAUCGGUCUAGUAAAGUAGUCAAUUGCUUAGGGACAAUUUCACAACUCCUACCACCACUUUUCCACACUUGCUAUAUUUACUUUAUUGUGUUUUUAUCUAAGCAGUCCCUAGCUUUUAUUUACGUGCUCUUUAUAUUCUUGCAAACCUAUCCAACAACACCUCCAAAGUACUUCUAGUUUCAUACUUGUUCUAGGUAAAGCAAACGUAAAGCGUGCGUAGAGUUGUAUCGAUGGUCGAUAGAACUUGAGGGAAUAUUUGUUCUACCUUUAGCUCCUCGUUGGGUUCGACACUCUUACUUAUCGAAAGAGGCUACAAUUGAUCCCCUAUACUUGUGGGUUAUCAAGACCUUUUUCUGGCGCCGUUGCCGGGGAGCAAUAGCGUGGGGUGAAUAUUCUCGUGUGUGCUUGUUUGCUUUAUCACUAAGUACUCCCUCCGUUUUUCUUUUGUUUGCGUAUAAGAGGAAUCCGGGAUACCAAGGACAGCUGUUGGAGUAAAAUUCUGGACUAUUUUGCCCCUGACUUAGCAUGCGCUGCAUGGAGGAGAAUAAAUGCCGCAUGCAGUCGAGUCCCGCGCCUUCUAAUGCGCUAUGGCUGCUGAUUGGCUGCCGUUUCGUUUCUCCUCGUUCUCCCCCCCUCCCCCCCGCAUGCACAGCUCUUGAAUCAUGAAGCAUCGCUUCCCUGCACUACGUAGAGCGCCAUUUUUCUGGUUCAACGACGCAAAUUUUAGCUGUGCGCUAAUUUCCAUUCCCUCCAAAACUGUCUUGGCGCCAUGGAAUUUCAGCUAUAGCGCCAUGGACCUUUGAAACCGAGAGUAGCAUGCUUAUAAAUNNNNNNNNNNNNNNNNNNNNNNNNNNNNNNNNNNNNNNNNNNNNNNNNNNNNNNNNNNNNNCUGCUGAUUGGCUGCCGUUUCGUUUCUCCUCGUUCUCCCCCCCGCAUGCACAGCUCUUGAAUCAUGAAGCAUCGCUUCCCUGCACUACGUAGAGCGCCAUUUUUCUGGUUCAACGACGCAAAUUUUAGCUGUGCGCCAAUUUCCAUUCCCUCCAAAACUGUCUUGGCGCCAUGGAAUUUCAGCUAUAGCGCCAUGGACCUUUGAAACCGAGAGUAGCAUGCUUAUAAAUUCGUCCACGCCAUGGAAGAACUCUGCACUUUUCUCCUCUGUUUCUCACCUCUCCCGUUCCCUUCUCUGAGUAUCCGAUGGCUAAUCUGGACCUCAACGUGCCCAUAAACUUGGAUGAGGUCGACGAGCAGUACAAUGGCGAUGCGGCUGACCUGCAGUAUGUGUACGUCUUCGAAGAGGGCGACGACGGUAAGCUUCGUUCUGUACUACUCCGUCCGCCCUUUUGAUCGCAAUGACCGGUGUCCCAUUGUUUCGUAGAGCACGAUGGUGUGCAUGACGGCGGUGCCCCUGGUGGAAACAAGAGUGGUGGCAGUGGCAGCGCCCGCCAGCAACUCAUCAAAGGAUAGAUCACGAACCUUUUUACCGUCGUCGUCGCUGCCGUACUUCGCCCGCUUGUUGCCGCUGUCGCCGCCGUACUUCGCUCGCUUGUUGCCGCUGUCGCCGCCGUCGGUGAGUGCAUGCAUCAUGUCGGCGAGCGCAUGCAACGUCCCGGCGAGCGACUGCACAGUAUCGGCCAGCGAGUGGACAAUACCUGCGAGAGCUUGGACGCCCCCGUGCGCCACACGGUCGCCAUUGUGGGCCUGCACGUUCUGGCCAUCCUCCGGGAUGGCAUGGUCGACGUCGUGGCCGUCCUCCGCGAGCGCCUGCAGGUGGCCAUCGCCUGCCUCGGCGUGGCCCUCCUCUGGGCGCGCAUGGCCGACGCCACGGUGUUCCUCCGUAAGGGCUUGGACGGCGCCGUCGCCUUCCUCCUCUUGGCCGGCGCUGUCGACCACGAGCGCAUGGCCAUGUCCGUCGCCGUCCGCACCUAUCGUUUCUAUGCUGUAGAUUACUUCAUCUUCUUCGAUUGGUUGGCUCUCUCCCCACAAGCAUGGGUUGAAUCCAUCGUUUGCCAUGGGAACGAGCAGAUUGGGAGAGUGGAGGGGGCGAUUUGUGGAGGGGAGCAUAGGGAGACGAGAAGGCGAAGCGGAAGAGAGGGCUGCGCCUAGUUAAUGCAGCGGCUGCGUGGGAAGACGAAUGAGAGGGGCAGUAUUGGAAAGAUCGGGAGAAAAAAGCCUAGGCGCAGACUAAAAGCGAAAAAGGGCAAAAAGUUAUACGCAAACAAAAGAAAAACGGAGGGAGUAUUUUUUAUUUGCUGUUCUUAGUUGUUUUCUAUCUUUAGUUAUGGGUAGGAAACGCAAAAUACCAAAAAAAUUAGUUGUACCUACUGAACCAAUGGUUGAAGAACCACUCAAAAUCUAUCACACUCCUGAAGCUUUUUACUUGGAUCAUCUUCGAUCCCUUUGUGCUCGUGCUGAAACUCCAACUAGCUUAGUUGAGGGAAAAUCUUUAGAUGAGCAUGCUUGUUAUGUGCGACACCGCAUAUCUAAAAAAGGGAAACUUUUACUGGAUCAAAUUCAUCAUUUGCAAUGCUAUGCGUGGAAUUUAUGUGAAAUAUAUGAUGUUACUUGUUGUUCUGAAAACCCUAAGAAACACCUUCCCUACCAAUGUGAGUUUAUCGACAAUGGAAUCGUGUCUUCAUAUGCUAAGGGUGUUUAUAAUUACUAUGAUGUUCAACAAAUUGAAGAAUUUGUUGCUUUUAAGGGUGCUUAUGAAAUUGCUUCUUUGAUUGAAAAGUAUGAUGCUACUCUUUACAAAUCUGAAAAUUUUGCCAUACUUAAAUAUUGUUAUGAUAAUUAUGCUUCUAAUGCCUAUGUUAAACCAUAUAUCGAGGACUCCUCCGCUGUCCAAGAAGAGACUAAUAUUUUGCAGGAGUCUAUGGAAGAAGAAAUUGAUGAAACUGUGAGCUCAUUGGAUGAAAAAGAUGAGGAGGAGAGCGAAGAACAAAAGGAGGAAGAGCGGAUUGAUCACCCGUGCCCACCUUCUAAUGAGAGUAACUCUUCAACUCAUACAUUGUUUAAAUUCCCUUCGUGCUUACCGAAGGAUGAUUGCUAUGAUGACUGUUAUGAUCCCGUUGAUUCUCUUGAAAUAUCCCUUUUUGAUGAUGGUUGCUAUGCUUGUGGCCAAGAUGCCAAUAUGAAUUAUGCUUAUGGAGAUGAACUUGCUAUAGUUCCUUAUGUUAAACAUGAAAUUGUUGCUAUUGCACCCACACAUGAUAGUCCUAUUAUCUUUUUGAAUUCUCCCGGCUACACUAUAUCGGAGAAGUUUGCCUUUAUUAAGAAUUAUAUUGAUGGGUUGCCUUUUAUCGUUGCACAUGAUGAUUUUGAUAGAUAUAAUAUGCAUGUGCUUGCUGCUCCUACUUGCAAUUAUUAUGAGAGAGGAACUAUAUCUCCACCUCUCUAUGUUUCCAAUAUGAUAAAAUUGCAAGAAACUGUUUAUACUAUGCAUUGGCCUUUACUAUGUGUGCAUGAAUUGUUCUUUUAUGACAUGCCGAUGCAUAGGAAGAGAGUUAGACUUCGUCAUUGGUUGAUAUAUGUUGCCUUGUGCUCACUACUAAAUGCCAAAUCAUUGCUAAUUAAAAUUGGCUUUGAUAUACCUUGGGAUCCGGGUGGAUCCAUUACUUGAGCACUAUAUGCCUAGCUUAAUGGCUUUAAAGAAAGCGCUGCCAGGGAGACAACCCGAAAGUUUUAGAGAGUCAUUUAUUUCUGUUGAGUGCUUUUAUAUAGUUUAAAAACAAAAAAAUAAAGAGGGGAACCUAAAACCUUUUCAAAAAGGAAAGUGAAAGUGAGAAAGACGAGCAUUGUUAAAGUGGGAGCUAGCCUUGAACUUUGUUCAUGCUCACGGAAACUUUGUGAAUCUUGAUUACAGAAAAUUUUCAACAAAAAUAAUUAUCCCCUUGUACAAUUCCAUUGUAUUAUUAAAAUAAUGUGCCAAGGUUUGCCUUUAGGAUGUUUACAAUGCUUGUUGGUUUGUGCGGUGCAGGACAGAAACUUUGGCUGUAGUGCGCGAUUUUACAUUUUUUACGGGAACGUCAAAUAGUUCUGAAACUUUUUGAAAUGUAUUUAUAUACAAAUUUUUUACUUUUCCUAAUUUUGGCAGAAUUUUUGAAGUAUCAUAAGUAUGGUGAAUGUUCAGAUUAUUACAGACUGUUCUGUUUUAGACAGAAUCUGUUUUUGAUGCAUAGUUUGCUUGUUUUGAUGAAACUAUCGAUUUAUAUCAGUGGAUUAAGCCAUGAAAAAGUUAUAUUACAGUAGCUACAAUGCCAAAACAAAAUAUGAAUUGGUUUUCAAUGGUACUUAGAGUAGUGAUUUGCUUUAUUAUACUAACGGAUCUUACCGAGCUUUCUGUUGAAGUUUUGUGUGGAUGAAGUGUUCGAAGAUCGAGGAGGUCUCGAUGUGAGAAGAAGGAAGAGAGGCAAGAGCUCAAGCUUGGGGAUGCCCAAGGCACCCCAAGUAAAUAUUCAAGGAGACUCAAGCGUCUAAGCUUGGGGAUGCCCCGGAAGACAUCCCAUCUUUCUUCAACAAGUAUCAGUAUGUUUUCGGAUUCGUUUCGUUCAUGCGAUAUGUGCGAAUCUUGGAGCGUCUUUUGCAUUUAGUUUUCAUUUUUCUUUUAUGCACCAUGCUGGUAUGAGAUAGUCCUUGGUUGAUUUACAGAAUGCUCAUUGCACUUCACUUAAAUCUUUUGAGUAUGGCUUUAUAGAAUGCUUCAUGUGCUUCGCUUAUAUCAUUUGAAGUUUGGAUUGCCUGUUUCUCUUCACUUAGAAAACCGCCAUUUGUAGAAUGCUCUUUUGCUUCACUUAUAUUUGUUAGAGCGUGGGCAUAUCUUUUGUAGAAAGAAUUAAACUCUCUUGCUUCACUUAUAUCUAUUUAGAGAGAUGACAGGAACUGGUCAUUCACAUGGUUAGUCAUAAAAUCCUACAUAAAACUUGUAGAUCACUGAAUAUGAUAUGUUUGAUUCCUUGCAAUAGUUUUGCGAUAUAAAGGUGGUGAUAUUAGAGUCGUGCUAGUUGAGUAAUUGUGAAAUUGAGAAAUACUUGUGUUGAGGUUUGCAAGUCCCGUAGCAUGCACGUAUGGUGAACCGUUAUGUAACCAAAAGGUUUUGUCGAUUAUAAAGGUGCUAGCAAAGUGUGCAAGCUCCAGCGAUCCAUCUAUGGACUGGUGCAAGCAUCUCAGAGUUGAAAUAUACGCUUUGAUGAGGUGAUCAAAUCAUAUGAUUUUAUACAGACUUACAGUGAAGCCUGUAUUUACAAGAAAGUGAGUGGGAGCUCUGUAGCAUUUUUAAUAUUAUAUGUGGAUGACAUAUUGUUGAUUGAAAAUGAUAUAGAAUUUCUGGAUAGCAUAAAAGGAUAUUUGAAUAAGAAUUUUUUAAUGAAAGACCUCGGUAAAGCUACUUACACAUUGGCCAUCAAGAUCUAUAGAGAUAGAUCGAGACGCUUAAUAGGACUUUCACAAAGCAUAUACCUUGGCAAAAUUUUGAAGAAGUUCAAAAUGGAUCAGUCUAAGAAAGAGUUCUUGCCUGUGUUGCAAGGUGUGAAGUUGAGUAAGACUCAAAGCCUGACCACAACAGAAGAUAGAGAGAGAAUGAAAGUCAUUCCCUAUGCCUCAGCCAUAGGUUCUAUAAAGUAUGCCAUGUUGUGUACCAGACCUAUUGUGUGCCUUGCCAUGAGUUUGGCAAGGGGGUACGAUAGUGAUCCAGGAGUGGAUCACUGGACAUCGGUCAAAAUUAUCCUUAGUUACCUAAGAGGACUAAGGAAAUGUUUCUCGGUUAUGGAGGUGAUAAAGAGUUCGUCGUAAAGAGUUACGUCGACGCAAGCUUUGACACCGAUUCGGAUGACUCUGAGUCUCAAUCUGGAUACAUAUUGAAAGUGGGAGCAAUUAGCAUGAGUAGCUACAUGCAAAGCAUUGUAGACAUAGAAAUUUGCAAAAUACAUACAGCUCUGAAUGUGGCAGACCCGUUGACUAAACUUCUCUCACAAGAAAAACAUGAUCACACCUUAGUAAUCUUUGAGUGUUAAUCACAUGGCGAUGUGAACUAGAUUAUUGACUCUAGUAAACUCUUUGGGGUUAGUCACAUGGCGAUGUGAACUAUGGGUAUUAAUCACAUGGCGAUGUGAACUAGAUUAUUGACUCUAGUGCAAGUGGGAGACUAAAGGAAAUAUGCCCUAGAGGGACUAAUAAAGUUUUUAUUUUAUAUUUCCUUAUUAAUGAUAAAAGUUUAUUAUUCAUGCUAGAAUUCUAUUGAUCGGAAACUUAAAUACAUGUGUGAAUACAUAAACAAAUACCGUGUCCCUAGUAAGCCUCUACUAGACUAGCUUGUUGAUCAAAGAUGGUUAAGGUUUCCAAACCAUGGACAUGUGUUGUCAUUUGAUAACAGGAUCACAUCAUUAGGAGAAUGAUGUGAUGGACAAGAUCCAUCCGUUAGCUUAGCAUAAUGAUCGUUCAGUUUAUUGCUAUUGCUUUCUUCAUGUCAAAUACAUAUUCCUUCGACUAUGAGAUUAUGCAACUCCCGGAUACCGGAGGAAUACCUUGUGUGCGAUCAAACAUCACAAUGUAACUGGGUGAUCAUAAAGAUGCUCUACAGGUAUCUCCGAAGGUGUUUGUUGAGUUGGCAUAGAUCAAGAUUAGGAUUUGUCACUCCGAGUACCGGAGAGGUAUCUCUGGGUCCUCUCGAUAAUACACAUCAUAAGAAGCCUUGCAAGCAAAUGACUAAUGAGUUAGUUACGAGAUGAUAUAUUACGGAACAAGUAAAGAGACUUGCCGGUAACGAGAUUGAACUAGGUAUAGAGAUACCGACGAUCGAAUCUCGGGCAAGUAACGUACCGAUGGACAGAGCGAAUUGCGUAUGUUGUCAUAACGGUUCAACCAAUAAAGGUCUUCGUAAAAUAUGUAGGAGCCAAUAUGGGCAUCCAAGUUCCGUUAUUGGUUAUCGACCGGAGAGGUGGCUCGGUCAUGUCUACAUAGUUCUCGAACCCGUAGGGUCCGCACACUUAACGUUUGUUGGCGAUAUAGUGUUAUAUGAGUUAUAUGUUUUGGUGACCGAAUGGUGUUCGAAGUCCCGAAUGAGAUCACGGACAUGACGAGGAGUCUCGAAAUGGUCAAGAGGUAAAGAUUGAUAUAUAGAAUGAUGGUAUUUGGACACCGGAAGUGUUUCGGGACGUACCAGAAAGAAAUCGGGUCACCGAAAGGGGUUCCGGGCANNNNNNNNNNNNNNNNNNNNNNNNNNNNNNNNNNNNNNNNNNNNNNNNNNNNNNNNNNNNNNNNNNNNNNNNNNNNNNNNNNNNNNNNNNNNNNNNNNNNNNNNNNNNNNNNNNNNNNNNNNNNNNNNNNNNNNNNNNNNNNNNNNNNNNNNNNNNNNNNNNNNNNNNNNNNNNNNNNNNNNNNNNNNNNNNCCCCGGGGAAGAUAUGGGCCUUAUGGGCCAAAGGAGGGGUCAGACCAGCUCACAAGGGGGCUGGCGCGCCCCUCCUAUGGCUGGCCGGCCCUAAGGGGAAGGAAAGGGGAGGGGUGGCCCCUCCUGCCUUUCCCUCCUCAGGAGAGAAAGGAGGGGGGGCACCUCCUCCUUCCUUCCUCCCGCGCUCCAAAUAAGGAAAGGGGGGCGCGGCUUGGGAGAGACCCCAAGUAGGAUUCCCCCUACUUGGGUGCCCCCCUUGGCUGCUCCUCCCUCCCUCCCACCUAUAUAUAUGUGGGAGGGGCGCCUAGCACAUAACAAACAAUUGCCUAGCCGUGUGCGGCGCCCCCUCCACCGUUUACACCCCCGGUCAUAUUUUCGUAGUGCUUAGGCGAAGCCCUGCGGAGAUAGCUUCACCAUCACCGUCACCACGCCGUCGUGCUGCCGGAACUCAUCCACUACCUUGCCGUCUUGCUGGAUCAAGAAGGCCGAGGACGUCAUCGAGCUGAACGUGUGCUGAACGCGGAGGUGUCGUACGUUCGGUGCUCGAUCGGUUGGAACGUGACGAAGUUCGACUACAUCAACCGCGUUGUCAAACGCUUUCGCUUACGGUCUACGAGGGUACGUAGACACACUCUCCCCAUCUCGUUGCUAUGCAUCUCCAUGGAUAGAUCUUGCGUGUGCGUAGAAUUUUUUUUGUUUUCCAUGCAACGUUUCCCAACAAUAUGAUCCUAGCGUGUGGACUCGAAAGUUCGAAGGCGCAACUAUAGAUCAAUUGAGACACUCUCAAGUGAUUGGUUCACUCGUGUACUCCCUCCUUCCAUGUAUAUAGGGCCUAAUGCAGUUUUCAAGAUUGCCUUUGACUAGUGAUAAGAUUAACAAUAUAUGAGAUGUAUAAUAUGAAAAUUAUAUCAUUAGAAGCUCCUUUCACGUAUGAAUUUGAUGGUGUGCUUUGUGUAACUUCCAUGUCAUAUACUUUUGCUCUAACAUCUAGUCAAAGUUAGCCUCCAAACACGCAUUAGGCCCUAUAUACAUGGAAGGAGGGAGUACCUAGCUUGUGUUACUCGGCCAGACAUCUCAUUUGUUGUGUGCAAACUGAGCCGGUUUGUCUCCAAUCCAGGAGAUGUGCAUUGACAUGCCGUUGGGUGAGUCAUGCAUUAUUUGCAAGGUACUAUGAACUAUGGAAUUCACUAUACUGGGUUCCCGAUGGUACUUGAGGCUUUAUAGUGAUUUGAAUUGGAUAUCUGAUGCUGAUGAGAUGAAACACACGAGUGGAUAUCUUUUGUCAAAGAGUUGGCCCUCUCCGAGCCACGGUCCAUCGCUCAUCUCGCGCCCGGUGCAGCAGGACCGAGCUCGUCUCGCGCCCGGGGCUGCAGGACGGGUCGAUGGAGGCCAGUUUAGGCCAGCCUAUUGGGUCUCAACGCUGGGGGCCGCCCAGGGGUGCGAAAGGCGGGGCCUUACCGCUUGUAUCUUUGGUUGGGCUAGCGGCAAGUCUCGAGUGAGGUGGUGCCAAGGUCUUGGAUGCCGGGGUGGCGGCCCUGGUGGUGGUAGUGCGAUGCUCAUGGGCAGAGACGUGGAUCGAUGCUGCCCGGUGGCCAUGGCCAUGUGGGCAGCGUGGUCGCCGGGGUGUGGCGUUCGAUGGCGGUGAGUGUUGGCCGGGGUGAAAACUUGUUCCAUCUUCGGACGGACCGGCGGCGACGAAGCUCGUUCCCUUCUUUGGAUCGGGCGGUGGCGGCGCACCCGUGUAGUAUCCUUCUUGAAGGUGCCGCCUUGAAGCCCACAGUUCGUCGUAUGCGGCUUCAUCUCUUUGCGGUGGUGUGUUUAUGGUUGAAUCAUCCGGUUGCUCUUGUAGUGUUACGAGUGGUGUUACUGCGCUCAGCGCCUCUCUAUCCUACCUUGGGUGUGCGCAUGUGUUGUGGUGGUAUGCGUUUGUAUCGGUUUGUUGAUGAUCGUUGCUUUAUAUAUAAAGUGGGGCGAAAACUUUUUUAGGCAAAAUGACGUGCUCAGAGUUCUGCGCAAGGAGCUUGGACAUUUCCAGGAAAUACGACGGCUGGAUGCUGAUUUGGUCUGAAGCAGCCUCCCAAGUCACCAAACAGAUCGACAACAACUUCGACAAGCAUCGCACCUAUGGCGUGUCUUCUUUUGCAAAAUGGCCAUUUGUCAUAGUGAUCUUACCUCGCUUCUAUGGCGUCUCAAACUUUGUUUGCUCUUUUGUAAUAUUAGCUUUAAUAAACAUUGUGGAUUUGCAGAUCUAUAUAUGUACUGUGCUUUGAUCGACCAUUGCUGAAUGUUGGUCCCGCGCUUAAUGCGUUUGUUUAUACAGCAAACAAAUGCUUCCUCCAUCUCACAAUAUAUAUAGUGCGUAUUUGAUCCUUUUAAAGUUAAAUUUUAAUCAAAUUUAUUGAUAAAGGUGGCUGAACGGAGAAACGACAUUGAUGGUUCCUUCCAAAAAAUGUAGAUCCAGCCUUCAAGAUUGGUCUGGAGUUCCACAAUAAAGGUGGCUAUAGUUUGGGAAAUGGAUGGUCUCCUUAUAACAUUAGUUUAGACAUUCUCACAAUUAUUUUUCCCCCAAAAAGGAGGAUAUUUUCACAAGCCAGAGUCAACCAUCGCAGUUUGAAAUGCACUUCACAGAUAACUGUGGGUUCCUACGAAUCACGCCAACAAACUGACGAAUGUUAGCCUCUGACACACCUCCCAAACCUUAGUUCAGAGAUAAAGGUUGGUCGUUCAGAGAAAUUUAGUGCGAUGAACAGACACUCGAGAGCUGUGGCUGGGAUGUCGCCAGGUGCCACGGUGGUAUUAAGAUCAAUGCUGGCGAGCUCGACGGCUGCAACAUCAGGGAAGCCCUACUUAGAAACAGUGGAGUCCGCAUAAGCAGCAGCAAAUGGGCCGGGAUGCUGAACUACUGCCAGUUCAGCUUACCGUGCAGUAUUUUCUUUACUGGAAGGCCUCGCACAGGGAAAAUUGUCAUUUUGGUGUUUACUUUUGGCCUGAAAAUUUUCCCUUCUUAUUGCAUUCUCUAGUGCUUAAAUAAAAUAAAAUAUAUAAUGUGCAUAAAACCCAAAACAGCUAUUAAAAUCAUAGUAGAUGAACAGAAAUAGUAGGGAUAUAAAGCAGUACCUGAACAUACAAAAGCACAUGGCCACAACUCUCUUCAGUUCCAUCUUGUCUCCAGAUUUCGGGACUAGAUCAUCAGCACCAUCACCAGGAUCAGGCUCUUUGUGAUACAUCCACAAGCAUGGCAUCCUGGUAUGGCUUCACCUUGGCAUUCUGGUAUGGCAUCACCUUAGCAUUCAGGUUCAAUUUCUAUGCCUUGCACAAUACAUCCCUCUUUCGUAGACGUAACAACUCUAUCAUGGGAACUCUUGGAGUUCUCCCGGCGAUGCAUUCAAAGAUGCUGAUAAGCAGCAGCCCUCCAACAACAGAGGCACUUGCUAGUGAGCUUGUGACCAAUAACGGCAUCAGGUGUCCGGUUCCCGAACAAAUUCAUCUUCAUGGGAAUCAAAGAUUUUGUGGCCCCUGACUUAUUAAGAGCAAAAAAGUUAACAUCAUGGUCAGAGUGCACCAUAUGUGCCUGAAAUAUAUAAAAAAAAUGGAAUGAGUGAAUACAUAACAGCCCAUAAUUACACACCCAAAGAUGAUCAGCACAAGAAAUUUCUGUUCUAUGAGAAACGAAACAAAUGACCUUGCAAGUUAAUGAAGUAGAGUAAAUUUAGUGAUACUUCAUAUUUCAAGUCAUCAGUUCUUGGAAAAAGGGAUAUCCUCUCCCAUAUUCUAUAUGAAUAACGAGACACACAAUAUAUUCAUAUAAACCAGAAUUGGCUGCAUAGGAAAAAAACACCUACAUAUUCUACUGGUGUCAUUUCAAUCAUGAUUCUCACUCGCCACCUACGUUGAAAAAACCCAAGAAACUGCACAAAGAAGAGGUAAACAUGCUGCGUGAAGAUUGUUAACUUGUUCAUGAUCAUGAUUAUACUACUAAGGUCACAGGAAAGCAUUUGCAUUAUUUUCAGAGUCUCCAAAGGUUCUCAGCUGGCACCCCACAAAGGGCAAGCGCAACAUUGAAAUCCAAGAUGCCAUGAUUGGCUUGGCCAGGAUCAUACAAAUCACACACAAAUCGAGAAAUAACAGGCCGAUGUAGUCUCUAGAUCAAAUCCACCCACAACUUUCAGAUCUGACAUCUUCCUACUCGCAGAACUGCAGAAACUGCUGAAGUUUGAUUUGGUACAGUUUGAAAACAAUUAUUUAAACCAUAGUUGGCUUCUUGCCUAAGCAUGCUAGUACUAACCUAUUCUGCUGCAAUUACAAAUUCUGAAGUUCCCAUCCUUGCUCUGAAAAGAGCAAAUCAUACACAUAUUUAUAUCUCUGCCAUAUCUUGCUUACCAUAUACUCCCUCCGUCCCAUAAUAUAAGAGCGUGUUUUACACUAGUGUAGUGUCAAAAACGCUCUUAUAUUUUGGGUCGGAGGGAGUAUAGAUAAUUGCACACCUAAAUAAGAGACAGCUAAUUAGCAACUGCAAGCUUGCCUUCCUUUAUUCCUUUCUCUCCACAUUACAACUUUUAAGAAAAUUGCUGAAAUUAACAAAGACUAGUACUAUGUUCAGUACAAGUAUUAUAUUGCAUUGAAGUUGCAACACCAGAUUAUUCCGUUAUAGCUGCAAGCAGUCUUGGCAUUGGGGGCACAUCAAUCUCCUGUAGACCCUCGAGAACCCGGACUACUUCACCCAUGGUCGGCCGAUCCAACUCAUUAUCUUGGAUGCACCAACAUGCAACUUUGCAAAUCCUUUCAGCCUCUUCCAAGUUGAAGUCACCAUGUAACCGUGGAUCCACCAAACUCUUCAAAUCUCCACUGUGAAGCUUGCUUAUGGCUUGCACAGGGAAGUAUUCAAUAUUCUGGUUACUGUUGCUGCUGCUGGUGUUGUACGAUGUUUCAGGUGAGGAAUUCCUCCUUCCUGAUAUGAUUUCCAAUAGCACCAUGCCGAAUCCGUAAACAUCGACUUUCGGUGUGAUCGCCACUCCAGUAAGCCACUCUGGGGCAAGAUAACCCACAGUUCCUCUGAAUGAAGUCAGAAUUCGGCUGAAAUCCCUUCCCACAAACGCUGCCAACCCAAAGUCUGCAACUUUAGGAACAAAUGAUGCAUCCAGAAGUAUGUUCUCUGGCUUAAUAUCGCAGUGUAUGAUGCACUCACGACAACCCUGAUGCAAGUAGCACAAUCCUCUAGCAACUCCUAGGGAUAUCUGACAUCUGAUGUUCCAAUUCAGGACAACAACAUUUGCAUUGCUCUUCUUAAAUAGAUGACUAUCAAGAGACCCAUUUAACAUGUGUUCAUACACAAGUAAUCUGUGAUCACCUUCGCAGCAGAAACCAAUCAAUUUGACUAGGUUUAUGUGUUGGAUCAGUCCAAUUGAGCUCACCUCGGCCCUGAAUUGCUUCUCUCCUUGACGGGCACCAUCGAGCCUUUUCACUGCUAUAGUAGUCAUUGAGUCACUUAACACCCCCUUGUAUACAGAACCAAAACCACCUCCUCCAAGCUUUUCUGAGAAGCUUUUAGUAGCACGAACCAAGUGAGUGUAUCUGAAGGCUAUGAUUCCACCAGCACUACCUGGAUUGUCGUAUAUAGGCAAACCACACCACUUGAAUUUGUACCUCCAAAUCAGUAACAACAGCAUGACCAUUAUUAACCCAAAACCAAUAAUACUUACAAUGGUAACAACUCCUGCCUUUGGUUUUCUUUCGUUUUUUCUGGAACCUGGUAGCAAAUCUUUGGCAGCAAGGCGAAGAUAAAGAACAUCUUCAGAAUUAUUAUCAAUGCCAUCAUUAAGAUUUACACUAAACAAUUCCCCAUGCCAGACAGAGCAUCUGCUAUUGCUAUAGGAAUAGGCAGUGCAGGAGCAGGAACCAAGACAUGCUUCUUCACAUUUACUUUUAGUAGCAACAUCUACAAUUUGCGGGUUGUAGGGCAGUGCAACUUGAGCAAUGGGGUGGAAUAUGUCUGUUGAAUUUGUCAUGUUUUUGUUGUUACCACUAGUGCUGCAAUGUAACGGUGUGUUUCUGAUGCAUCCUCCUGUUCGAUCCUCAAACUCCAAAUCCUGCGGUGACUUCUGGGAGAAGCUCUCCAUACAGUCACAUGAUGGAUGUGCAAUGCCGUUGCAGACCGUGAAAGGUCCGCAAGUAGCAGGCGGAGUGCAGGGAUCGGCAGGCUCGGAAUAUAUGCUUUGCCAAGACUGGCUGGCUUGUGACCAAACAUUCACCUUUAUCUGACCAGAGAUGUCUAGUGAGACAAACACAGAAGACGAUGAUUCAUCCGGCGAAGUGUACAUGUAGUACUCCUCUUGGUCGUUGUCAACAUAUGCUGGGUUAAUCAAACCUUUUGUCCGGGGAUCCAAAUCUAACGUGGUCUUGAUUAAUUGCACAAGAUUCAACGAUGAUGUUCUGGAGGAUGCCCAAUGCCAGUACACUACCGAGGGGUUGCGAUGCUUGAGGACGAUCCCGGUGCUGUCUAGUUCAAUGCUGUAUGACCCUAGACCCAGAUCAAUGAGGCUUUUCUUUGAUAUGUACUGACGAAUGAAACCGGGGACCUUGUUCCGGCCUAACUUGGCACCAGGAAGCGCAACAUCUGUUGGGUAGUCAAAGCUCUGCCACAACAUGUCUUGGCUAUUUGCGAGUAGGGCAAGGUUACCACUGUUCAAGAGAACAACGGCUAUAGAGGCGGUGGUGUUUAUGCUACUAGUUUUCCUAUUGACAAUGUGAGUGGACCAAACAAUGGAUUCAGUUUUGGCGGCAUGGUUUAUGAUGACAAGAUUGUCAUCGCUUGAGAUCUUGAGCUGUGUCAGGUUGAGAUUGGGGUGGGUGAUGGGCUCCUCUCUAUUAGCAACCCACACGGUAGUGAAAACGGGGAUCUUAUUGAACCAUAUGCCAAGGUACCAGCUGGAGCUGGGGGAGGUGGCAUUGCGGGACGACUUACUGAUGCUGCUUGCUGCUGGCUGGAAGAAGCCAAGGGCGAACUUGCCGUUUCUUGAGACGAGCUUGUCACCAACGCCGAGCGCUUGGCCUGCCGUGAGAGUGUCUUCAGUGGCAGCUGCAGAGGAGCACCAAGGAGCAGUGUGCAAGAGGAGAAGCCCGAGUAGUAUGUAGAGGGGAGGCAUGCUGAAGAAGUGUGAAUAAUUUAGACAAGAAGAGUAGGUGCAUAUAUAGAAUGGAAGGCCAAGUGUUCAGCAGACUGAAGCUGACGGGGAAGUCAAGUAAGUUCACAUUGGGACAGAAUAAGCAUAAAUACACAACAGUGGUACCAUAAAUACAAAACUGUGGUACCAUAAAUACAAGGCUGUACUACCAUAAUUGCAAGGCAGGACAUUCAAUGGACCAUGGUCAGGUCAAUCACGAGGCUUUCACCAAGCUUACUAUUCACCAACCUUUGUAUUAAUAUUAACCCAAACCAGAAAAGGUACCUCACAUAUUAGAGGGGAGGGCUAUCUUUGAAUAGAACUUUUCAAAACACUUUUACUAACCAACCAACAAAAUAUUUUCUUCAAUGCAUAGUCGAACACUACAAAUGCAAAUUCAAGGCAUAUCAACACAGAAGAUCAACAAAAGCCCCCUCCCCAGAAAAGUACUACUCCCUCCGAUCCAUAUUACUUGUUGCUCAAAUGGAUGUAUCUAGAUGUAUUUCAUUGCUAGAUACAUCCAUUUGAGCGACAAGUAAUAUGGAUCAGAGGGAGUACCACAAAAAUACGAUAAUGUUGUAAGCUAAAGUCGGUACUGAAAUUUCAACUUAUGCCUAGACAAGCUUUGAAACCGUCCCUAUCUAGCAGAAUAGGACCAUACUUUCAGUGGACCAUAGCUUAUCUACGAGGACUUUCAGUGGACCAUACUUACCAUUCAUCAACCCUCAUGGCAAUGGCUUCAAUGAGCAUGGCGGGCUGGCAGAAUAGGGGAAAUGGCAACACACAGAACAGUAGCGCUCUGUUUUUGAGGGAGAAAAAUCAUCAAUAUAAUGCUAGAUGUAGUUUGGCAAUGUCGGCAAAUCCUACAUAAGUAACAGCAAGGGAGCUUCCUUCUAUAUCUCAUCCAGUCCAUUGCUACAACUGGAAGUAUAUAUGUCAAGAACCCUCAUGGCAUGCUGCUUAUCAGUCAGUGGUCACUGGUCAGCCAACAACGCAAUCGCUUGAACGACCAUGGUAUUAGCCUAAACCAGAAAGAAAAAACACCUCACUUGUAUGAGGGUUAUAUUCUACAAAUACAAAUUCCACGUAUAUACAGAAGCUCCUUAGAAAGACAAACAAAAGUAUGACCACAGAAAUAAAACAAAUGCUGUGAGCUGCAGUUGGCAAACUUAAAACACAUAUGUGCUACAGAAGCUUCAGGGUGAUCUACAGCUUCAUCGAUUUCAAGUCGCUUUCUCUAGUUCAACCCCUGUUAGACUGGUUGCUUCAUCCUUUUGUUUGAGCCCCUUGUUUAAACCUUCUUUUUUUAUUUUAUUUUUUGCCUAAGGACAUGUAAAUCAUGUACACCUUUUUUUAUCUAUAAAAAAUCACACUCCAGGGGUUUCCCCUGUGGUAUUUCAGUCAAGAAAAGGAAAAGGAACGGUGGUAGUAGUGGCAAUAUCAGAGUGCCAGGCCCACCUCUUCAGGACUGAUAUUUAACUUAUACCUACACAAGCAAUGGCACCAUCCUAGGUUCUUGGACCAUGCUCCAACCCAGACAUAAGAUUCAUCAAGCCCUCUCAUUAGAUCACAUGCCUACUGUGAAGAGUCAAAUCUUCCCCUCGGUGAACAUGUAAGUGCGAAAGGUUAAUCUACAGAAGGUCAGAAAGAAAGCACCUAACAGGCAAAAUUUUCUUUUAUAGCAUUGCCAAGUUCAGGAUAAAGGAAAUACAGCAUACAUCGAUAUAUCUAAAAGCAGAGCAUCUAGAGAACAGGCUGCUCCUCUAUUGUCAGAACAGGAAAUAUGGCAACAAAUAGAACAGCAAGGAAUAAACGAUCUUUUUUCAAGAUGAGUUGGACCUGCAAUAGUUGGGAAAAUACAAUUUUGUACAGCGUGUGGGAAGAGAAGAGAAGAGAAGAGAGAGCUCACCACCACCAGCCAACCAUUUCUCAGCUUGUAGAACCAGAGGUAGAAAGACCGUCGUACAGCAAAUAAUAUGCUAAUGGAAAAGAGAGCUCCAUUUCCAUGCCUGCGGCAAUAGCGAGGAACUUCUAACAGCACAUGUCAACUACAGAAAGAAAUACUCCUGUUAGAAAUUGACCAGGAUUAGGAGUAGCAUUCUUCAAGAUUCAACUAGUUGACCAAGAUUCAGACUUAUGCAGUAGUAUGACCGUAUGAAACUAUGAGUUGACCAAGAUUCAACUAGUCUGAUGUGGUAUAUGAGACGAGAGGAGGGGCUAACCGAACCUGCGGAGGAGAAAGUGGUCGUUGAGGCGCUCGAGCUUGCCGGCGUCGAAGCGGACGGCUGGUCGUGGUCGUCGUAGAGGUGAGGCCCGCGUCACUCCCCAUUCGCCCUGCCAAGCUCUACGGCCGCCUGCAGGCCGAACAUUGCUCGCUGGCAUACUCUCUCCGGCCGCCGCCGCCGCCGCCGCCGCCGCGGCGAGGCUGGGAGGCGACGGCGGAGGGGUCGGAGGAGAGAGAGAGAGAGAAGAACGGGGCGUUUCAUGAAUGGGCCGGCAUUGAGAGGGCCUGCUGGGCUGGGCCUUCUGUGGGCAAUCACACUGACUGUGUGUAAUAUGGAGACAUCGACGCACUACUCACAUGCUAAAAAAUUAUUCUCUCAUCUUUCAAAAAAUAAAUUUAAAUGUUUAAAAAAUAUAUGAAUAAAUUUUUCACAGCACAUGUAUCUAUAAUAUCUAAAAAAUUCAAAUCCAAACUCAAGAUACGAAUGCAGAAUUUUUUCUAGGGACCGUAGACACACGUUGUGAACGUUAAAAACAUCAUAAUUUUUUGAUUUCUUUUAAGUUGGGAGCUUGGGAGCUGUGACGCCUCCGAUUCAAUCGUACACUAAUCAUACACGUAAACGUGUACGAUCAAGAUCAGGGACUCACGGGAAAAUAUCACAACACAACUCUAAAAUAAAAAUAAGUCAUACAAGCAUCAUAAUACAAGCCAGGGGCCUCGAGGGCUCGAAUACAAGUGCUCGAUUAUAGACAAGUCAGCGGAAGCAACAAGAUCUGAGUACAGACCUAAGUUAAACAAGUUGCCAUAAAAUGGCUAGCACAAACUGAGAUACAGAUCGAAAGAGGCGCAGGCCUCCUGCCUGGGAUCCUCCUAAACUACUCCUGGUCGUUCGCGUCCUGAACGUAGUAGUAGGAACCCUCGGUGUAGUAGGGGUCGUCGUCGACGGUGGCGGCUGGCUCCUGGGCUCCAACACCUGGUUGCGACAUCCGAGAAAAAAAGGAAAAGGGGAAAAGGGGGAGCAAAACAACCGCGAGUACUCAUCCAAAGUACUCGCAAGCAAGGAUCUACACUACAUAUGCAUGGGUAUCUGUGUAAAGGGGCAAUAUCGGCGGACUGAACUGCAGAAUGAUAGAAUAAGAGGGGGAUAGCUAGUCCUGUCGAAGACUACGCUUCUGGCAGCCUCCAUCUUGCAGCAUGUAGAAGAGAGUAGAUGGUAAGUUCAUCAAAUAUCAUCGGAUAGCAUAAUCCUACCCGGCGAUCCUCUCCUCGUCGCCCUGUGAGAGAACGAUCACCGGGUUGUAUCUGGCACUUGGAAGGGUGUGUUUUAUUAAGUAUCCGGUUCUAGUUGUCAUAAGGUCAAGGUACAACUCCGGGUCGUCCUUUUACCGAGGGACGCGGCUAUUCGAAUCGAUAAACUUCCCUGCAGGGGUGCACCACAUUACCCAACACGCUCGAUUCCUCUGGCCGGACACACUUUCCUGGGUCAUUGUCCUGCCUCGGAAGAUCAACACAUCGCAGCCCUACCUAGGCACAACAGAGAGGUCAGCACGCCGGUCUAAAUCCUAUGCGCGCAGGGGUCUGGGCCCAUCGCCCAUUGCACACCUGCACGUUGCGAACGCGGCCGGAAGCAGACCUAGCCCCCUUAAUACAAGCGCAGGCUCACGGUCCAAUCUGGCGCGUGCCGCUCAGUCGCUGACGUCAAGAAGGCUUCGGCUGAUACCACGACGUCAGUGCCCAUAACUGUUCCCGCGUAGUUGGUUAGUAUGUAUAGGUCAGUCGCCAGAACCAGAUCAAAUACCAAGAUCUCGUUAAACGUGUUAAUUGAUGUAACCGCAGACGCCGACCAGGGCCAGGCCCACCUCUCUCCUAGGUGGUCUCAACCUGCCCUGUCGCUCCGCCACAAAGUAACAGUCGGGGGUCGUCGGGAACCCAGACCCACCACUACCUGGAUGGAACCACCUGCCCCUUCAGCCCCCACAUCGAAGUCACUUGCGGGUACUCUACGAGCCGACCCGACUUUAGUCACCACCUGUAUAGUAUGUAUGUAUGUAUUUAUAUACCCGUGGAUCACCUCCCGAGUGAUCACGGCCCGAUAGUAUAGCAUGGCAGACAGACAAGGAUGUAGGGCCACGGAUGAAGUACUAGCAACCUAUACUAGGCAUGUAGGAUUGCAGGUAAAGGUAUCAACAAUUGUAGCAACAAUGACAGGCUACGCAGCAGAAUGGGAUUAACCGAAAGCAGUAACAUGCUACACUACUCUAAUGCAAGCAGUAGAGAGAAGGAAUAGGCGAUAUCAGGUGAUCAGGGGGGGAGGGGGCUUGCCUGGAAGCUCAGCCGAGAAAGAGGGGUCGUCAACACCGUAGUCGUACUGGGUAGCAGCGGCGUCGGUCUCGGUGUCUAACGAGAGAAGAGGGGGAAGAAACAAUAAAUAUAAUGCAAACAUAUGCAUGACGACGCAUGACAAGACAAUGAGCGGUGCUAGGUGUGCCCUAACGCAGUGCUACACGAUACCGAGGAAGGGGGAACCCAUCCGGGAAAGUUUUCCCGGUUCCGGACUAAUGUUGAACAAGUGACCAGAGAGGGAAUGUUCCAGGUUCGGAUAGUUAGAGGUAUCCGACGGUUAUGUGGGUAGUGUAUGGUGGUUCGACUCAUCGUUCUAAGCAACUUUCAUGUACAAAGCAUUUUCAUCCUAGCUACGUAUUAUUUUACAUUAAUUUUUAAAGUUUUAAUCAAUUUCUAAAUUAUUAUUAUUGAAUAAAUUCAAAAAUAGCAUUACUGCCUCAGCAUGAUGUCAGCAUGACGUCAGCAGUCAACAGAGGUGUUGACUGGGCCAAACUGACGUGUGGGUCCGCAUGUCAUUGACUGAGAUUAACUAAACAGGUUAAUUAGUUUAAUUAGUGAUUAGGUUAAUCUAAUUAGGAUUAAUUAAGUUAAUAAUUUUUUACUUAUUAUUAUUUUUAAAAUUCUUUUUUAUGUUUUCGUUCUGGGCGCAUGGGGCCCAAAUGGCAGGGGGCCAUCUGGCCUAACGGGCGCUGGGCGCCAGCGGGCGCCCGACCAGGCGAGGGCCGAGCGCGCGCAGAUGGGCGCCGGCACCGGGCGAUGACCGGGGCUGCGGCGAGGCCGGCCGGGAACGGCUCCGGCGAGGCCGACCGAGUGCCGGACUACAACAGAGGACGACGGGGGUCGCGCGAGGGGGCGGGCUGCAGGCUGCGGCAGCCUGGGCGUGGGCGCAUCAGCAGAGCAGUGGUAAUGGGGCGUGCGGUCAGAGCGGCAGGGGCGAGUGUGAAGCAGUAGCGCGGCCGUGGCAGGCGAGCAGCGACGGGGGAAGCAGCAGGCGAGUGAGGCCGCGUCGGGGGCGCGCGAUCGUGAGCUGCGGUCGGCGCAGACGAGCAAGUGCGCGCGCGGGGCGGCUCGAGCGGCAGUAGCAGGUGCGACAUCAGCAACAGCAGCGCAACUAGCAGCGGCCUCAGGUAGUUGCAGCGCGAGGAGCAGGGGCGCGGGGCGAUGGCCGGUGCGGGGGUCGCGGUGNNNNNNNNNNNNNNNNNNNNNNNNNNNNNNNNNNNNNNNNNNNNNNNNNNNNNNNNNNNNNNNNNNNNNNNNNNNNNNNNNNNNNNNNNNNNNNNNNNNNNNNNNNNNNNNNNNNNNNNNNNNNNNNNNNNNNNNNNNNNNNNNNNNNNNNNNNNNNNNNNNNNNNNNNNNNNNNNNNNNNNNNNNNNNNNNNNNNNNNNNNNNNNNNNNNNNNNNNNNNNNNNNNNNNNNNNNNNNNNNNNNNNNNNNNNNNNNNNNNNNNNNNNNNNNNNNNNNNNNNNNNNNNNNNNNNNNNNNNNNNNNNNNNNNNNNNNNNNNNNNNNNNNNNNNNNNNNNNNNNNNNNNNNNNNNNNNNNNNNNNNNNNNNNNNNNNNNNNNNNNNNNNNNNNNNNNNNNNNNNNNNNNNNNNNNNNNNNNNNNNNNNNNNNNNNNNNNNNNNNNNNNNNNNNNNNNNNNNNNNNNNNNNNNNNNNNNNNNNNNNNNNNNNNNNNNNNNNNNNNNNNNNNNNNNNNNNNNNNNNNNNNNNNNNNNNNNNNNNNNNNNNNNNNNNNNNNNNNNNNNNNNNNNNNNNNNNNNNNNNNNNNNNNNNNNNNNNNNNNNNNNNNNNNNNNNNNNNNNNNNNNNNNNNNNNNNNNNNNNNNNNNNNNNNNNNNNNNNNNNNNNNNNNNNNNNNNNNNNNNNNNNNNNNNNNNNNNNNNNNNNNNNNNNNNNNNNNNNNNNNNNNNNNNNNNNNNNNNNNNNNNNNNNNNNNNNNNNNNNNNNNNNNNNNNNNNNNNNNNNNNNNNNNNNNNNNNNNNNNNNNNNNNNAAAAAUUACCACUAGUACCUAAAUUUGUAUCUAUAGACAAACUACUGUCAGACUAAUUCUUAACCCAUAAUAAAUUAGUUUUAAUAUUUCAUAAAUUUCCAUAGGCAUCUGUUUUAUUGUUUUCACUGAUGUUUUAAUUAUUUUAGUGCAUUUGAAUUCUUUACGGAAGUGUGGUUUCUUUACUAUAAUUACUUACGCAUUAUUUGGCACAACCCAAACAUUUUAAUUUUAACGUUUGAAAACUUGAAUCGUUUGACUUUAAUUCAAAUUUAGAUUUGAACCGGUUUUGAACUAACACGAGAUUAACAACAGUAACGGAGGUGACGUGGCAUCAUUAGUAGAGGUUUACUGUAGCUUAAUUAUCCGGGCGUCACAAUUCUCCUCCACUACAAGAAAUCUCGUCCCGGGAUUUAAGAGGCGGAGUAAAGGGGGAAGGUUCUGGUUACGAAAUUCUAGCGAGUGUUCUCGGUCUUGGUUGCUCUUCUCGAAGAGGUUGAUCCAUUACGUGAGGUCUUCAUUUUGCUGCUUCGGGUCAUCAUGAUGAAUUCAUCUUCCUUUCUUCAGGAACUCCAUCGUACGUACGAAGGUCAAGGGUUAACUUCGGAAGAACGGGCCGCUACAAUGUUGCUUAUCUGGUAGAUAACAUCAGGAAAGGUGGCGGAAAGUAACUCUCGAAUUGAUACUUAAGAAAUUAUCGAGAGCAAAGUAAGAAGGUGCAAAAUGGAAGUUUCAAGCGCAUAGGCAAUCGUUUGUUGCCUGAAACAAAGUGUGAAAGGGGUUUAGAGCAAUGGGAAUAAGCAUUGCGUCUGAUACCAGAAUAGAUCACUAGGCAGGUGGCCCGUGAAUUACAUACAAAGUCAAGCGCGAGGAAUAACUUUGACAAAUGGGUGUACAGGAGAGUCAAGUUUCGAUCCUGUGGAACUAUGGGUUAUUGGCCCACCAUGUGGGUUAAAAGUAGAAAGAGCGGUGACAUCUUGCAAGGAUAUGAUAGUAAGGCAGGUCAGAGGAUAGCCUGCCAGUUAUGAUGGCAACAAUGCUGGUACCAAGGGCGAGGGACGAAGAGAACCAUUUUCCUGCUCGUUGAAACCAGGCGGACCAAUAGGCAGAGUUCUCGUCCAUCGGUGGUUACCGGAAUGUUGUCAACAAUAGUAACAGUGUCUUACUGACAAAGUUGUACACCGAGGUGUUUACAUAAGCAGAGAAAUAUUACUACUUAUAUCAUAUAGAUCACCAGAAAGGUUAACAAAACAAUGGAAAGGAAAAUGUGAUUAUUAUGUUAAUCAGACCAAUGGAAAGGAAAGGUGUUUAUACUCAAGUAUUAGAGUACAUCCUUCCAAAGGACAAGCAGAGAUUGAUAUUCACAACAAGAUAACAAGUAGAAACCAUUUGGGUAGAGGAGCAACGAAACUCAUAAUGUUACCCAUACAAUGGUGUUUGGAUAUUUGGUCAAGAAACAUUUAGCAUUAUGCUUCCAAUGUUAUUGUUGAAGAUCGGAGUACCACGGACAUGCUCCGAGAUAGCAUUGACAUGGUCUUCAAGCAAAGGUCAGACUUUGAUACUCAAAGGAUUCAUCAGGAACAACUUAUAGAAUAAGUCUUACAAUUUCCUCAUGGAAGAAUGGUUAACCUUGCUAAAAAGAAAGAAUUAUAAUAAAAGGUCCUCCGGCCAGGUGUGCUAGGCAUGACAUCACCUUACCGGGUCAUGUAAAGAUGUUAUAACUCCUGGAAAUAUGUCCCAACCAUCAUAUCUAACCGAGAUUCAGAUCUGAUUGGUGUCAGGAUACCUCGGACUCAGGAUGCUUGAGAAGAAGAGGUGCAGCACAAAUCGACGAGAUGACAUUAUAAGAUUCUCGGGAAAUGAACUAUAGAAGCAAGUUCCAAAACAAAAGUUCAUCAUUAACCAAGGAGAAAAUGAGGAUGUGGCCGAUGAACUCAGCGACAACUCAUCGAGAUUUCCAAAAGAUGGAUUUCCACAAUUAUGUGAACAAGGAGAUAACAUUUGUCAGACCAAAUGAUAUAAUGAGGUAUGCUCGAGGAAAACAUAUGCAAUUAACCAUUGGUUGAAAAGCGGACCCGAAAUAUGGGCUUAGAUCGCAUGAUCAAUGUUAGAAUGGUGAUUCAAUAACCAAUAGUCUAAGAAUGAACUGUCGACCAUUAACUUCAAAGCAAUAGGGUUGCUAGAAGUUUUGAAUCCGCACCUCAUAGUUCAAUUGUCGGUUUUCCAGUUAGAAACAACACGGGCACCAAGGAACGAACGGAGAUGGCAAGAGGUAUCACUUGUGUCAAGAAUUCUUAAAGAGGUGGUGAAAUCCUCACGUCAUUCUUAACAUAAAAGAUGGUAAUACUCCAAGGUAAAGAAGAACAAAUGCUGGAUAACAAGGAACUCAAGGUAUAACACAGAACACGAACAAGUUUGUGUUGGAGGGAAGGCAAUAAAGUGGUCAAUGAAAACACAAAUCAUCGAGGGCAAGGAUGGUAUUUCUCAUCAUGAGUUCAAUUGAUAUCCUGGAAGAGCUCGGAAUGCUGAUGAUGAUCUCAAUACAUUUGUCAAGAGGUUUCAUGAAGAUGUAAUCAAUCAGCGACGACAUCAAGCAAAAGCAAUGGUGAAGCGAAGGGUUAUUGGAACCACGGAUACGACACAAACUCGAAAUCAAUCUUGAUGUUCAUGGAGAAUUGAUAUGAUGAGGAAGAUCGACGCAAGAUUAGCUCGUCAUCGAAAAUUGUGCUCCGAGAAAAAGGACCAGGUAGCACAGUUAAAAAAUUAGCACGAUAAUGUUAUAGCCGAUCAGGCUAGGAAUGACUUGAAGGAUUAUUAAACUCGUAAGCAACAACAAAUUUACUUAAGAGUUUCUGAAUGGGAGUGCGAAAUCGAUUCACUUAUCGGUGUUCU